rnacentral:lncRNA from 1 species
UUUUUUUUUGUUUUUUUCGUUGAGGGAAGUGCGAAUUGAUUUGGUACGUACAAGUACAAUAUUACACGUUAGGCUUCUCCCUAAAAUUCAACCUGCGCCUUGUUAUAUCCCGAAAAUUUAGAUAUCGUGCUCCCAAAAUUGGCACCUUCACAACCCGCGCCUUGCUAUCCCUAAAUUACAACGCGCGCAAAAACUCCCUCCAGCUGCCAAAUCCCGAGAUGCGAAAUGCCCCUUCUAACCUUGAGCCGAAAGGGCUGCUAGUUCAAAUCGGUGGGGGUACUUUUGUAACACACCCUAUAUUUUGGACAAGCGCGUCCCCAAGUCAUGGUUCCCCCCUCCCAUCGGCUCCUUUUCGCCAUUCGAAAUCUGGCCGCCAUAACCUCUCGGCUCCAGCCGCGAAACCCCACCCUCCUCCGUCCGCCACCUCCCCGCUACCCAGCCGGACCCUCUUCCCCGACGACGUCGUCCACCGCAACAGCUCGACAUCCCUCAUCCGCCUCCCUGGAUGAGGAUCUAUCGUCCAUCCCGUCGUCCCGCCGGUUCAGCCGCCCCGUCCUCCACCUCCAAGGCGAUGCUCCGACGAUCGCCUCGUCUAUCGCGGCUGCUCCAUCCCCACAGCGCCGCCUUAACCUGCUCCACCAGAACCGCAACAUCCUCACCGACUCCUCAGACGAAGCCGAGGCCUACUCGGCGCCACCAAAGAGGUUGUACACUCAUCGCAUCGCACCUUCUCCUUAACUCGACCUCCCGGCGCUGACGGUGCUCCAUCCCACACCCCCAUGGAGCGGCUACCUCGAAGCCGGCGCCGCGGCGACAUCUCCACGGCGGCUCUCCCCAGUGCAAGGCCCCUUCGGCGGCAGGGUCCAUACCAGCCGGAUCUGCUGCUGCUGCUCCGGCUGUCGCUCGGUCGCUCGCGCUGCUGCUGCUCCGGCUCUCGCUCGCGCUGCUGCUGCUGCCCGGCUCUUGCUCGCUCGCGCCGCUGUUGCUGCUCCGGCUCUCGCUCGCUCGCGCUGCUGCUCUCCCCCUCGCACGUGCUGCUGCUCAGCUCCGAUUUAGUAACACUUCAGUCGACUGAAUUGACUUUUGGGUCAGUCGAUUUUCAGGGGAUGGUGGGUCUCGCCGGAGUUAAGGAAGAACCACCCGCGGCGGGGAGGGGGGCUCGCCAGAGAGGUACCCCACUAUCUAUCUUAGGGUUCUGGGUAGGGUGCUGCUCGCCGGCGGUGGGGGCGGUGGUGGGGCGGUGGCGUGGGGAUCNNNNNNNNNNNNNNNNNNNNNNNNNNNNNNNNNNNNNNNNNNNNNNNNNNNNNNNNNNNNNNNNNNNNNNNNNNNNNNNNNNNNNNNNNNNNNNNNNNNNNNNNNNNNNNNNNNNNNNNNNNNNNNNNNNNNNNNNNNNNNNNNNNNNNNNNNNNNNNNNNNNNNNNNNNNNNNNNNNNNNNNNNNNNNNNNNNNNNNNNNNNNNNNNNNNNNNNNNNNNNNNNNNNAUGGCUGGCCGGGGCGGCGGCGGACCGACGGUGGGGAGUUGUUUCGGGGCGGCGGCGGACCAGCGGUGGGGAGUUGUUUCGGGGCGGCGAGGCGGCGCGGGGUUCGGCCGGUGGUGGCUGGUGGCUCAGGGGGUUGCAGGUUGAAGAUGAACUGCAGGCCCUCCCUAAACUAUCCCAUGUGAAGUGCCUCUCUUCUACCAUUGCGUUCAGUUUCGACAGUAACAUUCAGAUUCCACAGUAAAUUUCAGUUUCUAUAGUUAAGUUCAGAGUCAAUAGUUUUUACCUCAUCUGUUGUAGUCAGGUGGUUUUUGGUGAUGUAAAUUUUACAUCUAUCACUUUUUGGUAAUGCAUUUUACAUCAUCUAUUGGAGAUGCUAUUAGAAUUCCACUUGAGAUUAACAAUGUAUGUCUUGUGCUGCUUCAGCCUUGACGUCUUACGGCUCACCGGAGCUGCUCCAAGGACGGAACGAUCCAUCACAACAGAGCAGUGCCCUGGACGCCGUCUACAGAUUCCUUAGAUCUUCCUCCACACCUCCGACAGCCACCUCUUCCUCAACUUCUUCAGCGACCAACCCAAUGAUGCUGAGGUCGACACGGCUAUGGCAAAGAGGUUGUACACUUGUCGCAUCACUUAUUACUCUACAUUCAUGUCGAUCCAUUAGGGCUAUUGUGGUUCAACGGAAAAACAUAGCAAUAGUUGUGGGCCACAUAUCGAGGCAGUAAUGAAUAGUAUCUCUGUCUAAUAUCUGGUUCACCUAGGGUAUGCCUAUGUUGUUCAUCUUGGAUGGGAAACAAAUUGUAAAGCAAUCAUCAUCUGUUUUUUUAAUUAAAUUAAAGCAAUCAUCAGCCUGCUACCAUUAUUUUUGGAUCCAUCCACUGGUUGUUACCAUUACUCCAGAUUGUUACCAUUACUCUAGAUUUCUGCAUGCUCUCCUAACAUAAUCUCACUAUAUUUUUUUUGUAUGCAUGUCAGAUAUUGUACACAGUCAUGUUGAACAUGUAGAGAAAAAGAGAAGAGUUUUGCGCGGCAAUACAAUGUCAUGCAGACAUCGCUCCAUGGUAGGUUCAAUGGCAAACCCUCCCCCCACCCCUCACCAGAUUGUAAUCCAGAGGAAGAUAUCUGUUCUGAGGCGGAUUCAGACGCAGCUGAUCACUCCUAUUUACCCCCCAAGGUGUUUGCUCUAACUUGGCAUGAUGAUGUUAGUCAUAUCAUGCAUAUGUUGCCUUGUAGUGCCUACUUUCAACAUCAUAUAUGUCAUCUGCUUAGUUUAGACAUGUUCUGUAAUGCCACUUGUUUAGUUUCAAUAUCAUAUAUGGGAAUUAUGCAAUGCCAUCAUGUUUAACCAGGCAUCAUAUAUUUGAAUGAUAUCUAGCCCAUCCUUUUCUUCAUUAAAUUUCCAUUUGUCGACAAUGUUUGUACAUUAAACUACUCUUCCUGUGAAUCAUCCAUUUGAGUGGGUGAUGGAAAAAUCUGGAGUGAAAACAAGGCCUUCAGAGCAGACAGUGCUACCUGUCGAAGCAGAUCUCUUGCUGGGUCCCGAUAGCUCCUCAGAGAUGGAUUCAGAGACAAAUGACCAGUCCUAUUCCCCACCGAGGUGUAUGCUCUAACUUGGCACGGUUCUACUGCUCAUAUCAUGCAUAUGGUGUCUUGCAUUGCAUAGUUUAGACAUCAUAUACACAAUAUUCAACACCAUGUUCUUAGUUCAGACAUCAUAUAUGUGAAUGCCCUCCGCUUAGCAUAUAAAUCACAUAUGUGAAUUAAAUCAUGCGGUCCUGGUUACUUAGAUAACAUGUAUGUGAAUUAUGUCAUGCGAUCAUGUUUAGUUAGUCAUCAUAUCUUUGAAUUAUGUUAUGCUAUGCUAUCCAGUUUAGAUAGACAUCAUAUAUGUGAAAUUAUGUCAUGCUAUCCAUUUUAGUUAAACAAAUACAUGUCAAUUAUUUAAUGCCCUCUUUUUUCCACACUAUCUAUUGCAUCUAUCUCUCAUACAAUGUAUGUACAUUCAAUUAUGUUUCCUGUUUAUCAGCCAUUUGAAUUGGAGCGGGUGAUGGCAGUAUCUAUCGCAGUAAAAACACGGUCUUCAAAUAAAACAGUGAUACCUCUUGGUGGAGAUAGCACCCCGGUUGUACAUGCACGAGAACCAGCCCUACCACACAUAACCCAGACUCUCGCAGAUUUUACCCCUACUGCGAUGGACAGAGAACCAGCUUCACCCAAUCUAACCCAACCCCAGCAGAUAGUAACCCAGGUCCUGUUGACACAGCACCAUCUCCACCACAGAGCUCCCAAACAAGAGCUGUUAGUAAGGCAGCUCCAGUGCCCAAAGCGCCAGUACUACCACGGCGAACCCCAACUCCACCAGUUAGUACACCUAUUCAUGUGGAGGAAGCACAACCAGCCAUUCAUAGUUUAGCAUCUAUCACAUUUGAUGUUGUUAAAUCCUAUGUGCGUAUCUUCCCAUCAUGGAAAUAUUAUACUGAAGAUGAAGGGAAAUGCCAGUUGCAGGUGUUUGUCCAGGAGUUAUGUGUAAGUAAUGUUAUUCAUGGCAAUUACUUUGCUUUGUCCCAUACAUUCUACCUCCAUGAUGGUUAUAAUACAACAAAAUUUCCCAUUUUUCUCUAUAGAGAAGGACCAAUUUGGAAACUCAGGAUGAGGUAACUUGUGCUAAUACCUCUGCUAUCUUCAAGAAUGCUUGGUGGCAGUAUCGGAAUUACCUGAAGAAAACGCACUUCACUGGCAAAGAAACUCAUCAAAUUCCCUUACGUUCUCCUGAGACACAUUUACUGGACGAUGACUGGGAAUGCCUUGAUCUUUACUGGUCCCGAACCAAGACUGUGGUAAGGUUGAUGAGCUCAUUUUAUUUUAAGUGCUAUAUGCUUGCGUCUUACUGUACUCUGUUCAUGUAGAACAAGUGCUUAAACCUGAAGAACAACUGUUCUCAUUUAAGAUUCCAUUACUAUCGUGCAUACUGCUUUGCUCUUGUAUCACUGUAUUUACUCAUACAAACUUAUUUUUAAAUUGAACUAUCCAAUGGAAACUUCAAUGGCACAACAGGUACGUUUAUGCAUGUUUCUUUAACAGGUUUGCUCUUAUAAAUAGCUCUGUUGAUUUCAAUUUCAAUUGUGUAUACAGUUGACUUCUCAUAUCAUGCACAUUACUAGCAUCAUAACAGGGCCAAUAGUGUUGUUGUACAUGUAGACCCGUGGUACCCAUCUGAAAUCUUGUUGUGUCGUUUAGUUUCCCACGCUUUGUAUUCUUUCAGUGCUGCUUUCUCUUGAACUGAUAUGAUUUGAACCGUGUCUCUAUUUUGAUUUGGCAAGACAAUGCAGUGACCAUAGGACAUAGAUAUAUGUUUGUUUGAUGCUUUUAUAAUGUAUUACUUGGCAAUAGAGGACUUGGUAGUUUAAUCUUGUCCACCUUACUAAUGAACUGGUUCACCGAAAUGAGUUUCAUAUAGUAGUACAUGCUAAACCUGUUAUGUGUCUGCUUGUUUUUCUUUUAGAAUGCUGACAGAAUAUUGGGGAAGGGUGCCUUAUUAAGCAAUGAUAAAGGAAGUAAUGCAGAUAAGGUUCAGGAUCAUGAGACAUCCUUGUUGGUCUCCAACAAAGCUGAUAAAACAGCUAAGGAAAACUAUCUUGAAGACAGUGAGGCAACCCCAAAGUCCUGUCUUGGUUUACUGUUCGAGUUAUUGGCCACUACCGCUUGCACAAGCUAUUCAAACUCACUGUCUGAAUCAGUUCGGUUUCUUGAGUCUCAACUACAAGCUGAAAGACAACGAUCAGCUGUGUUGCGACAAGAAGCGGAAGGACCGCGGAAGUCCCUAGAGCAUUCAGAUGCAUACUUUCUGGUGCAACAGCAAGCGUUGGAGGAUUUUAGCGCCAAACAGGACAAAGCUAAUAAGCUUGCUAAGCUUAUUGCCAGCAUGGUGGAUACCCAGGAUAACGUUUCUUGAGCUCUUCUGAAGCUGUUUCAGUUAUGGACUUGUUUUGCUGCUGCGUUUAUUUGCACCGGUGGCCAAUUUUGACGGCCAGUGUAUGUAAUAUGCUGGUUUGUUCCCUAUAUUUGCACUGGUGGCGAACUUUGAUGCCUAGUGGAUGUAAUGUGUGCAAUAGCUGUAAUAGGCUAGCGUUAGUUGCUUGCUUAUUUAUUUCCUUAUUGUCUUGUUUAGUUGUUUGCUUGUAGUCACUGCAGUUCCUUUUCCGCGUUUUUUAGUGGCCACAAUAACCUAGUUUUGGUAACUAGGCCACAAUAAUCAUGGCAACACACGGACUGUUGUAACCAUGGGCCUCCUGCAGGCCGUAGGAUCCGUGGGCCUUCUACGGGCCGUAGGAUCCAUGGGCCUUUUAUGGGCCAUAGGAUCCAUGGACUUUCUACGGGCCGUAUGAUCCAUGGGCCUUCUACAGGCCGUAGGAUCCAUGGGCCUUCUACGGGCCGUAGGAUCCAUUGGCCUUCUACGGGUCGUAUAAUCAUUUCACCAAACAUGGGUCGUACUAUUCAUGGACCAUAACGGGCCGUUAAAAGGUCGUAUUUGAUAAUGCUAUGAAAACAACCCAACGGGUUAACGGGCCACAAACGGGCCGAAUGUAACCAUGGGCUGUAUUUGGCCCACAAACGGAACAGGCCAGUAACAGACCGUAUCUAACCGAAUUCUAGAAAUGACCCCAAGAAUAAAUGGGCCCUUACAAGCCGAAAGUUAACACGGGCUGGAAACGGCCGAGGAAAUAAUGGGCCGUUAAUGGGUAUAAAGCGAUGCACUGUUCAUUAUGGGCCAGUUUCAUCCCGGGCCUUUAAUGGGCCGAGAGUUACAAAGAGCCUCAUAUGGGCCGAAAGACAUCAUGGGCCAUACAUGGGCCGGAAGUUACAACGGGCUGGAAUCAUAUUGGACGGCCCAGAUGAAGCAAUUGGGAUUAAUUUCGAUAGGCCGUAAUGGGCCGGUAGUAAGCGGGCCGUAAAUGGGCUAUAUACGAAUAGGCCGUUAACAGGCUUUUCGUGGGCCAGCCCAUUACCUUUUGACCAAGUCAAACGGGCCAGCCUUUUCACCGGAAUGGGCCUCUGUUGGGCCGUGCCACGUGUUGACGUAUCAUAGGCGCCUCUUGUCCAAUGAGUGGAUGACAUCUGUCCGAACGUUGAGCCGACACGUGUUUCCUCCGGCAAAUGAGAAUUUUACACGUGGAAAAUUCCCAUUGGUCCGGGCUGUUAAUGGGUUAUCAGAUCCAAAACCGGACCCGAUAGCUUAACAGCGUCCCGUUACGGUGGAUGCCACAUGUCAGUCACCCUUGACGAAAGCACUUCUAUGACGCAUGAUUUAUCGUAAUGGAAGUGGACACUUCCAUGAUGAUAAUUUUGGUAAUGUCAUGGAACACUUCUAUGACAGCACAGGUAUGACUAUCUUGAUUCUGUCAUAAAUUUGUCAUGGAUGUACAUGCAUGACAGAAAACGUGACCUACUGUGAUAAACACGUAUCAUCACGGAAGUGUCUUUUUUUGUAGUGUAUACAUACCAAAUCAUAUCCCUGCCAUAUGGAUAUGAUCAACCAACACAUAUACAUACCAAAUCAAAAGUCCAUAUGCAACAUAUAUAGCUAGCCAACAUAUCCAACAACAAGCAUACAAUGGUUUCAUCCAUACAUACAUAUAGGUAGCAAGUUUAACAUUGUUCAUCCUACAAAAUCAAAACAAAAAGGAAGCACAAGGAGAAGAGUAGACUCCAUCAACGCAAGCUUCCUCAUCUAAAGCAAAAUAAGAAGAAGAAGAAGAAGAAGAUUUCUUCUCUUUAUUUUUCUCCUCUCCUCUUCUUUAUCUUCUUAUUCUAACUAAGGUAGGUAAUAAUGCCAUAGUUUAGCUAAGCUAGGUAAAAAUGCUAAGUGUCGGGGGUGGCCGCGGGGGUGGAGGAGAGGGGCGCCAGGGCAGCACGGCCGGGGCGGCCGGGGCAGCGAGGCGGGCGGCGGAGCGGCGAGGGCAGCUCGCGCACGGGGGCGGCCGCGCGGGUCUGAUGAGGGAGGGAGAGAGAGGGGAGAGAGAGAGGGACGUGGGGCUGGCUGCUUUUUAGUUUAGGUCACAGCUCUUCGUCGUCUGCUAUCGAACGGCAAAGAGACGAGCUAACGGACAUUAGUUGGCCAAUUUCUUUGCUGCCCGCUAGCAGACGGCAAAGAAAGUGGCCGUUAGGUGGCCCUCGCUAGUGCGCCACCCUCCUUCUUUGUUGUCUGCUAGCUGACGGCAGAGCUUCUAUGCCGUUAGCUAGCAGACGGCAACGAGGUAGGUGACGGCAAACACUAUCUUUGCCGUCAGUUUUCUUUAACCUGAUGGCAAAGAAUGUCUUUGCCAUCCGCUAACAGAGGGCAAAGAGCCGGCUGAUGGCAAAGAUCCUGAUUCCAGUAGUGGUGGGCGCUAGAGCUUGGAGGUUGGAAGACAGGAGCUAAAAGAAGGCAUGGGAAAAAGGAGGGAUCUUUAUCCUCUUAUAGACGGUGAAAAUACCAAACGUCCCCCUCUCAAGCCAUAAAACUUGCCUGUUCCCAACAACAUCGUGCAUAAGGCGCAGUUGGAUUACCCAAAUCACAUUGAUGAGAAUCCCGUAAUGGGCGGGCAUGAUCUCUAUUUUGACGGGACGUGCCAAUGAGGGCUAGACCUCGAAAUGCGAAACUGGAGGCGUGAAAACGGUUCGAAAUAUUAAAGAGUCAAGUGUGACGCUUCCCCGCAAAGUUGUCAGUAAAAGACAAUGUUCCUAUUUUGACAUCUUGCCUCGUGGCUAAGGGUUGUAUUGAUUGUGCAGAGCCGGAUAUAGUUCCUUCACGCAGGAAGCUAACUUAAAGUAUUCAAGAGAAGGAACCCGCCUUGCAAUGCCGAAGAUAAUCCGCGUGUCGAACACAUCAUCAUUGAAGACUGAUUCAGGGGCUACUGUGGGAGUCCUAGAUUAGGGGGUCCUCGGGUGUCCGGACUAUUCAAUAUGGGCCCGACUGAUGGGCCAUGAAGAUAAAGCAUAAGAAUAUCCCCCGUGUCCGGGUAGGACUCCUAUAUGCUUGAACGGCAAGUUUGGUGUCCGGAUGUAUAGUUUCCUUCUUCUGUAAACCGACUCUGUACAACCCUAAGCCCCUCCGAUGUGUAUAUAAACCGGAGGGUUUUAGUCUGUGGAGGCCAUCAGAAUAAUCAUAGGCUAGAUAGCUAGGGUUUAGCCAUUACGAUCUCGAGGUAGAUCAACUCUUGUAACCCCUAUACUUAUCGAAUACAAUCAAGCAGGACGUAGAGUUUUACCUCCUUUAAGAGGGCCCGAACCUGGGUAAACAUUGUGUCCCCAUCGUACCUUAUUACCAUUGAUCCUCAGACACACAGCUUGGGACCCCCUACCCGAGAUCUGCCGGUUUUGACACCGACAAUGUACUCAUUGAAAAUCUUAUCAAGCGUCUUGAUCUAUCUCUAUAGAUCUUGAUGCCUAAUAUGUAAGCAGCUUCACCGAGGUCUUUCAUUGAAAAAUUCUUAUUCAAGUAUCCUUUUAUGCUAUCCAGAAAUUCUAUAUCAUUUCCAAUCAGCAAUAUGUCAUCCACAUAUAAUAUUAGAAAUGCUACAGAGCUCCCACUCACUUUCUUGUAAAUACAGGCUUCACCGUAAGUCUGUAUAAAACCAUAUGUAUGAUCACCUCAUCAAAGCGUGUAUUCCAACUCCGAGAUGCUUAAACCAGUCCAUAGAUGGAUCGUUGGAGCUUGCACACUUUGUUAGCACCUUUAGGAUUGACAAAACCUUCUGGUUGCAUCAUAUACAACUCUUCCUUAAGAUAUCCAUUAAGAAAUACAGUUUUGACGUCCAUUUGCCAGAUUUCUUAAUCAUAAAAUGUGGCAACUGCUAACAUGAUUCGGACAAACUUAAGCAUCGCUAUGGGUGAGAAAGUCUCAUCGUAGUCAACUCCUUGAACUUGUCGAAAAGCUUUUGCGAUAAGUCGAGCUUUGUAGAUAGUGACAUUACUAUCAGCGUCAGCCUUCUUCUUAAAAAUCCAUUUAUUCACUAUGGCUUGCCGAUCAUUGAGCAAGUCCACCAAAGUCCACACUUUGUUGUCAUACAUGGAUCCUAUCUCAGAUUUCAUGGCCUCAAGCCACUAGUUGGAAUCUGGGCUCAUCAUAGCUUCUUCAUAAUUCGUAAGUUCGCCAUGGUCUAGUAACAUGACUUCCAGUACAGGAUUACCGUACCACUCCUGUGCAGAACAUGCUUUGUUCAUCCUACGAGGCCCAGUAGUAACUUGAUCUGAAGUUUCAUGAUCAUCAUCAUUAACUUUCUCUCCAGUUGGUGUAGGCAUCACGGGAACGGAUUUCUCUGAUGUGCUACUUUCCAAAUUGAGAGAAGGUAUAAUUACCUCAUCAAGUUCUACUUUCCUCCCACUCACUUCUUUCGAGAGAAACUCCUUUUCUAAAAAGGACCCAUUCUUAGCAACAAAGAUCUUGCCUUCAGAUCUGUGAUAGAAGGUGUACCCAAUUGUUUCUUUAGGGUAUUCUGUGAAGACACACUUCUCCGAUUUGGGUUCGAGCUUAUCAGGCUGAAGCCUUUUGACAUAAGUGUUGCAACCCCAAACUUUAAGAAACGACAGUUUAGGUUUCUUGCCAAACCACAGUUCAUGCGGUGUCGUCUCAACGGAUUUAGACGGUGCCCUAUUUAACAUGAAUGCAGCUGUCUCUAUGCAUAACCCCAAAACGAUAGUGGUAAAUCGGUAAGAGACAUCAUAGAUCGCACCAUAUCUAAUAAAGUAUGGUUACGACGUUUGGACACACCAUUACGCUGUGGUGUUCAAGGUGGCGUGAGUUGUGAAAAUAUUCCACAUUGUUUUAAAUGAAGGCCAAACUCGUAACUCAAAUAUUCACCUCCGCGAUUAGAUCGUACAAACUUUAUUUUCUUGUUACGAUGAUUCUCAACUUCACUCUGAAAUUCUUUGAACUUUUCAAAUGUUUCAGACUUGUGUUUCAUUAAGUGGAUAUACCCGCAUCUACUCAAGUCAUCUCUGAAGGUCAAAAAAUAAUGAUACCCGUCGCGUGCCUUAACACUCAUCAGACCGCAUACAUCGGUAUGUAUUAUUUCCAAUAAGUCAUUGGCUCGCUCCAUUGAUCCGGAGAAUGGAGUUUUAGUCAUCUUGCCCAUGAGGCAUGGUUCGCAAGUAUCAAAUGAUUCAUAAUCAAGUGAUUCCAAAAGUCCAUCUACAUGGAGUUUCUUCAUGCGCUUUACACCAAUAUGACCUAAACGGUAGUGCCACAAGUAUGUUGCACUAUCAUUAUUAACUUUGCAUCUUUUGGCAUCAAUAUUAUGAAUAUGUGUAUCACUACGAUCGAGAUUCAAUAAACCAUUCACAUUGGGUGUAUGGCCAUAGAAGGUUUUAUUCAUUUAAACAAAACAACAAUUAUUCCUUGACUUAAAUGAAUAACUGUAUUGCAAUAAACAUGAUAUAAUCAUAUUCAUGCUCAACGCAAACACCAAAUAACAUUUAUUUAGGUUCAACACUAAUCCCAAAGGUAAAGGGAGUAUGCGAUGGUGAUCUUAUCAACCUUGGAAUCACUUCCAACACACAUCGUCACCUCGCCCUUAACUAGUCUUUGUUUAUUCUGCAACUCUUGUUUCGAGUUACUAAUCUUAGCAACUGAACCGGUAUCAAAUACCCAGGGGUUACUAUGAACACUAGUAAAGUACACAUCAAUAACAUGUAUAUCAAAUAUACCUUUGUUCACUUUGCCAUCCUUCUUAUUCGCCAAGUAUUCGGGGUAGUUCCGCUUCUAGUGACCAUUCCCUUUGUAGUAGAAGCACUCAGUUUCAUGCUUAGGUCCAGCUUUGGGCUUCUUCAUGGGAGGGGCAACUUGCUUGCCAUUCUUCUUGAAGUUCUCUUUCUUUUCCUUUACCCUUUUGUUGAAACUAAUGGUCUUGUUAACCAUCAACACUUGAUGCUCCUUUUUGACUUCUACCUUCGCCGAUUCCAGCAUCACGAAGAGCUCGGGAAUCUUUUUCGUUAUCCCUUGCACAUUAUAGUUCAUCACGAAGUUCUAGUAGCUUGGUGAUAGUGACUAGAGAACUCUAUCAAUCACUAUCUUAUCUGGAAGAUUAACUCCCACUUCAUUCAAGUGAUUGUAGUACCCAGACAUUCUGAGCACAUGCUCACUGGUUGAGCUAUUCUCCUCCAUCUUGUAGGCAAAGUACUUGUCAAAGGUCUCAUACCUCUCGACAUGGGCAUGAGUCUGAAAUACCAAUUUAAGCUCUUGGAACAUCUCAUAUGCUCCAUGGCGUUUCAAAACAUUUUUGAAGUCCCGGUUCUAAGUCGUAAAGCAUGGCGCACUAAACUAUCAAGUAGUCAUCAUUACGAGCUUGCCAAACAUUCAUAACGUCGGCAUCUGCUCCUGCAAUAGGUCUGUCACAUAGCGGUGCAUCAAAGACAUAAUUCUUUUGUGCAGCAAUGAGGAUAAUCCUCAAAUCACGGACCAAGUCCGCAUCAUUGCUACUAUCAUCUUUCAACUUAUUUUUCUCUAGGAACAUAUCAAGAAUAAAAACGGGGAGCUACAUCGCGAGCUAUUGAUCUAUGACAUAAUUUGCAAAUACUAUCAGGACUAAGUUCAUGAUAAAUUAAGUUCAAUUAAUCAAAUUACUUAAGAACUCCCACUUAAAUAGACAUCCCUCAAGUCAUUUAAGUGAUACGUGAUCCAAAUCAACUAACCCAUGUCCAAUCAUCACGUGAGAUGGGGUAGUCAUCAAUGGUGAACAUCUCUAUGUUGAUCAUAUCUACUAUAUGAUUCACGUUCAUCCUUUCAGUCUCCAGUGUUCCGAGGCCAUGUCUGUACAUGCUAGGCUCGUCAAGUUUAACCCGAGUAUUCUGCAUGUGCAAAACUGUCUUGCACCCGUUGUAUAUGAACGUAGAGUCUAUCACACCCGAUCAUCACGUGGUGUCUCAACACGACGAACUGUCGCAACGGUGCAUACUCAGGGAGAACACUUAUACCUUGAAAUUUAGUGAAGGGGUCAUCUUAUAAUGCUACUGCCGUACUAAGCAAAAUAAGAUGCAGAAAAGAUAAACAUCACAUGUAAUCAAAAUAUGUGACAUGAUAUGGCCAUGAUCUUGUGCUUUCGAUCUCCAUCUCCAAAGCAUCAUCAUGAUCUCCACCUUCACUGGCUCGACACCUUGAUCUCCAUCGUAGCGUUGUGGUUGUCUCGCCAACUAUUGCUAACUCAUAGCGAUAAAGUAAAGCAAUUACAUGGCAUAUGCAUUUCAUACAAUAAAGAGACAACCAUACGGCUCCUGCCAGUUGCCAGAUAUCUUACAAAACAUGAUGAUCUCAUACAAUAAUGUAUAUCUCAUCAUGUCUUGACCAAAUCAUAUCAAAACAUACCCUGCAAAAACAAGUUAGAUGUCCUCUACUUUGUCGUUGCAAGUUUUACGUGGCUGCUACGGGCUUCUAGCAAGAGCCGUUCUUACCUAUGCAUAAAACCACAAGGGUGUUUCGUCAAGUUUGUUGUUUUAACCUUCUUCAAGGACAGGCCAUAGUCAAAUUCGAUUCAACUAAAGUAGGAGAAACAGACACCCGCCAGCCACCUUUAUGCAAAACUAGUUGCAUGUCUGUCGGUGGAACCGGUCUCAUGUACGUGGACAUGUAAAGUUGGUCCGGGCCGCUUCAUCCCACAAUACCGCCGAAUCAAAAUAAGACGUUGGUGGUAAGUAGUAUGACUAUCACCGCCCACAACUCUUUGUGUUCUACUCGUGCAUAUCAUCUACGCAUAGACAUGGCUCUUGAUGCCACUGUUGGGAAACGUUGCAUGGAAAAACAAAAUUUUAUUUACGCACACGCAAUUAUCUAUCCAUGGAUAUGCAUAGCAACAAGCGGGUGAGUGUGUCUACGUACCCUCGUAGACUGUAAGCGGAAGCGUUUCACAACGCGGUUGAUGUAGUCGAACUUCUUCGCGCUUCAACCGAUGAAGUACCGAACGCGCGGCACCUACGCGUUCUGCACAUGUUCAGCUCGGUGACGUCCCUCGCCUUCUUGAUCCAGCAAGACGUGGAGGUAGUAGAUGAGUUCCGUCAGCACGACGCGUGGUGAAGGUGAUGGUGAAGUGAUCUCCGCAGGGCUUCGCCUAAGCACUACAAAAAUAUGAUCGGGGGUGUAAAUAGUGGAGGGGGGCGCCGCACACGGCAAGGCAAUUGUCUGGUGUCUGCUAGGGGCACCCCUCCCCCCCCCCAGAUAUAUAUAUAUAUAGGUGGGAGGGGGAGGGGAGAGGCCAUGAGGCACCCCAAGUAGGACCGAAUCCUACUUGGGCUCCUCCCAAGCCACGCGCCCCCUGCCAUAUAUAUCGGAGGGGGGAGGAAAGAGGGGGGAGGGGGAAGGAAGGGGGAAUCAUAUUCCCUUUCUUUGCUUUCCUCCUUCCCCUUUCCUUCUCCACCUUGGCCGGACCAUAUGGGGGGCGCACCAGCCCCUUGUGGCUGGUCUUCCCUCUUGGCCCAUAAGGCCCAUAUCUUUUGCCGGGGGUGCCCCGAACCCCUUCCGGUGACCUGAUAUGUAUCCAGUACCCUCCGAAACACUUCCGGUGUCUGAAAACCGUCGUCCUAUAUAUCAAUCUUUACCUAUAGACCAUUUCGAGACUUAUCGUCAUGUCCAUGAUCUCAUCCGGGACUCCGAACAACAUUCAGUCACCAAAUCACAUAACUCAUAUAAUACUAUAUUGUCAUCGAACGUUAAGCGUGCGGACCCUACGGGUUCGAGAACUAUGUAGACAAGACCGAGACACCUCUCCGGUCAAUAACCAACAGCGGAACCUGGAUGCUCAUAUUGGCUCCUACAUAUUAUACGAAGAUCUUUAUCGGUCGAACCGUUAUGACAACAUACGUAAUUCCCUUUGUCCAUCGGUAUGUUACUUGCCCGAGAUUCGAUUGUCGGUAUCUUCAUACCUAGUUCAAUCUUGUUAUCGGAGAGUCUCUUUACUCGUUCCGUAAUACAUCAUCUCAUGACUAACUCAUUAGUUGUUUGCUUCCAAGCUUAUGAUGUGUAUUACUGAGAGGGCCCAGAGAUACCUCUCCGGUACUCGGAGUGACAAAUCCUAAUCUUGAUCUAUGCCAACUCAACAGACACCUUCGAAGAUACCUGUAGAGCAUCUUUAUAAUCACCCAGUUACAUUGUGAUGUUUGAUAGCACACAAGGCAUUCCUCCGGUAUCCGGGAGUUGCAUAAUCUCAUAGUCGAAGGAAUAUGUAUUUGACAUGAAGAAAGCAAUAUCAAUAGAACUGAACGAUCAUUAUGCUAAGCUAACGGACGGGUCUUGUCCAUCACAUCAUUCUCCUAAUGAUGUGAUCCAGUUAUCAAAUGAAAACUCAUGUCCAUGGUUAGGAAAUCUUAACCAUCUUUGAUCAACAAGCUAGUCUAGUAGAGGCUUACUAGGGACACUAUGUUUGUUUAUGUAUUCACACAUGUAUUAAGGUUUCCGAUCAAUACAAUUCUAGCAUGAAUAAUAAACCUUUAUCACGAAUAAGGAAAUAUAAAAUAACAACUUUAUUAUUGCCUCUAGGGCAUAUUUCCUUCAAUGGAGAUCAUGACGAUGCUUUGUAGAUGGAGAUCAAAAGCACAAGAUGAUGAUGGCCAUAACAUGUCACAUACUUUUGAUUGCAUGUGAUGUUUAUCCUUUAUGCAUCUUAUUUUUGCUUAGAAUGGCGGUAGCAUUAUAAGGUGAUCGCUUCACUAAAUUUCAAGAUAAAAGUGUUCUCCCCGAGUAUUCACCGUUGGCAAAGUUCGUCAUCUCGAAGCACCUCGUGAUGAUCGGGUGUGAUAGACUCUAUGUUCACGUACAACGGCUGUAAACCAGUUUUGCACAUGCAGAAUACUUGGGUUAAACUUGAUGAGCCUAGUAUGUACAGACAUGGUCUCGGAACACUGGAGACCGAAAGGUCAAACAUGAGUCAUAUAGUAGAUAUGAUCAACAUAGAGAUGUUCACCAUUGAUGACUACCCCAUCUCACGUGAUGAUCGGACAUGGUUUAGUUGAUUUGGAUCGUGUAUCACUUAGAUAACUUGAGGGAUGUUAUUUUAAGUGGGAGUUCGUUAGUAAUUUGAUUAAAUUGAACUUAAUUUAUUAUGAACUUAGUCUUAAUAGUUUUUGCAUAAUUAUGUCGUAGAUCAAUAGCUCGCGAUGUAGCUCCUUUGUUUGUUGAUACGUUCCCAGAGAAAACUAAGUUGAAAGAUGAUAGUAGCAAUAAUGCAAACUGGGUUCGUGAUCUGAGGAUUAUCCUCAUUGCUGCACAGAAGAAUUGUCUCCUUGAUGCACCGCUAGGUGACAGACCUAUUGCAGGAGCUAAUGCAGACAUUAUGAACGUUUGGCAAGCUCGAUAUGAUGACUACUUGAUAGUAGUGUGCCAUGCUUUACGGCUUAGAAUCGGGGUUCCAAAGACAUUUUGAACGCCAUGGAACAUAUGAGAUGCUCCAAGAGCUAAAAUUGGUAUUUCAGGCUUAUGCCCGUGUUGAGAGGUAUGAGACCUCUGACAAGUACUUCGCCUAAAAGAUGGAGGAGAAUAGCUCAACCAGUGAGCAUGUGCUCAGAAUGUCUGGGUACUACAAUCGCUUGAAUCAAGUGGGAGUUAAUCUUCCAGAUAAGAUAGUGAUUGACAAAGUUCUCCAGUCACUAUCACCAAUAUACUAGAGCUUCGUGAUAAACUAUAAUAUGCAAGGAAUGACUAAAACGAUUUUCGAGCUCUUCGCGAUACUGAAAUCGGCGGAGGUAGAAAUCAAGAAAGAGCAUCAAGUGAUGAUGGUUAAUAAGACCACUAGUUUCAAGAAAAAGGGCAAGGGAAAGAAAGGGAACUUCAAGAAGAAUGGAAAGCAAGUUGCCGCUCCCGUGAAGAAGCCCAAAGCGAGACCUAAGCCUGAGACUAAGUGCUUCUACUGCAAACGAAAUGGUCACUGGAAACGGAACUACCCCAAAUACUUGGCAGAUAAGAAGGAUGGCAAAGUAAACAAAGGUAUAUUUGAUAUACAUGUUAUUGAUGUGUCUCGUAGUAGCCCCUGGGUAUUUGAUACCGGUUCAGUUGCUAAGAGUAGAAACUGGAAACAGGAGUUGCAGAAUAAACUGAGACUAGUUAAGGGUGAGGUGACGAUGUGUGUUGGAAGUGUUUCCAAGAUUGAUAUGAUCACCAUCGCACACUCCCUCUACAUUCGGGAUUAGUGUUGAACCUAAAUAAAUGUUAUUUGGUGUGUGCGUUGAGCAUGAACAUGAUUAGAUCAUGUUUAUUGCAAAGUCAGAGAAUAAUUGUUGUUCUGUUUACAUGAAUAAAACCUUCAAUGGUCAUACACCCAAUGUAAAUGGUUUAUUGAAUCUCGAUCAUAGUGAUACACAUAUUCAUAAUGUUGAUGCCAACAGAUGCAAAGUUGAUAAUGAUAGUGCAACAUACUUGUGGCACUGUCGUUUAGGUCAUAUUGGUGUAAAGCGCAUGAAGAAACUCCAUGCGGAUGGACUUUUGGAAUCACUUGAUUAUGAAUCAUUUGAUACUUGCGAACCAUGCCUCAUGGGUAAGAUGACUAAAACACUGUUCUCUGGAACAAUGGAGCGAGCUAAUGACUUAUUGGAAAUAAUACAUACCGAUGUAUGCGGUCCGAUGAGUGGUGAAGCACGCGGUGGGUAUCGUUAUUUUCUCACCUUCACAGAUGAUUUGAGUAGGUAUGGGUAUAUCUACUUGAUGAAACACAAGUCUGAAACGUUUGAAAAGUUCAAAGAAUUUCAGAGUGAAGUAGAUAAUCAUCGUAACAAGAAAAUAAAGUUUCCACGAUCUGAUCGUGGAGGUGAAUAUUUGAGUUACGAGUUUAGCCUUCAUUUAAAACAAUGUGGAAUUGUUUCACAACUCACGUCACCUGGAACACCACAAAGUAAUGGUGUGUCCGAACGUAGUAACCGUACUUUAUUAGAUAUAGUGUGUUCUAUGAUGUCUCUUACCGAUUUGUCUUUAUCAUUUUAGGGUUAUGCAUUAGAGACAGCCGCGUUCAUGUUAAAUAGGGCACCGUCUAAAUCCAUUGAGGCGACAUGUAUGAACUAUGGUUUGGCAAGAAACCUAAACUGUCGUUUCUUAUGUCCAACAACUUCAUAAGCUCGAACCCAAAGCGGAGAAGUGUGUCUUCAUAGGAUACCCUAAAGAGACUAUUGGGUAUACCUUCUACCACAGAUCCGAAGGCAAGAUUUUUGUUGCUAAGAAUGGGUCCUUUCUAGAGAAGGAGCUUCUCUCGAAAGAAGUGAGUGGGAGGAAAGUAGUGCUUGAUGAGGUAGUUGUACCUUCUCUCGAAUUGGAAAGUAGCACACCAGGGAAAAACGCUUCCGUGAUGCCUACACCAACUAGAGAGGAAGCUAAUGAUGAUGAUCAUGAAACUUCAGAUCAAGUUACUACUGAACUUCGUAGGUCGACCAGAACACAUUCCGCACCAGAGUGGUAUGGUAAUCCUGUCCUGGAAGUCAUGUUAUUAGACCAUGGCGAACCUACGAACUAUGAAGAAGCUAUGAUGAGCCUAGAUUCCAAUAAAUGGUUGAGGCCAGGAAAUCUGAGAUAGGAUCCAUGUAUGAGAAAAAGUGUGGACUUUGGUGGACUUGCCCGAUGAUCGGCAAGCCAUUGAGAAUAAAUGGAUCUUCAAGAGGAAGACGGACACUGAUGGUAAUAUCACUGUCUAUAAAGCUCGACUUGUCGCAAAAGGUUUUCGACAAGUUCAAGGGGUUGACUACGAUGAGACCUUCUCACCCGUAGCAAUGCUUAAGUCUGUCCAAAUCAUGUUACCAAUUGCUGUCGUGGUUCUAAGUCUGACAGUAGAAUGGGGGGUAGGAAUGUAGAGGCAAGAUCUUAGCUAUGGGGAAGUUGUACGCAAGAGUUUUACGAGUUCAGGCCCUUCUCGGAGGAAGUAACAGCCCUACGUCUCGGAGCCCGGAGGCGGUCGACUGGAUUAUAUGCGUGUGUGUGUGUGUUACAGGGGAUGUGAACCCUUGUCUCAAAGGAGGGGGGUGGCUUAUAUAGAGUGUGCCAGGACCCCAGCUCCCCUCCGUUACACAGGAUUCAAUGUACAUAAAGUGAGAGCGUUACAGGUAACGUCAAUAAUAAAGUGCUAUAAAUGAUCAUUAAGUCUAUGAGUAAACGUCCGACCGUUGCUGCGCAGAGUGGCUUUAGGUCUUCUGCACGUCGAGUGGUUGAGUGGUCGAGUGACCUAAAUAAGGAGAGAUCUCCGAGUGAAUGGUAGGUCGAGUGGAUUGCACUCGACACCUUUGUUGAGCCCUCUCUAUUUGCUCUUGAACUUCUUUGCUUCUAGGACAAGGACCUUAGGUAGGAUGUAUAGGUCAGGCCUAUCGCCCUACCCUAGGUCUAUGUCCUCAUCAUUAGCCCCCGAAUGGAUUGAGGUCUGAGUGAAAAGAAGGUUGAACUUGAUCUUGCUUUGACUCUUGCCUUUCUCAAGAACUCGUUUCUAAACGGAGGCUAGUGUUGGUACUUCGGCUUCGUUUCAGUCGCCUUGAUCGAUUCAGGAAUUGCCGAUUGGUUUUUAUAAUGUCACCCGCCGAGUGUUGUCUUUGACGCUAAAUCUUUGGCGUGAUCGGUUGCAGAGGAUCCCGGAUUUCGCGGGAUUCGAAAUUUCGGUGAAAACGCGCCAGGCGGAGCGUGCCGUGGUAAGCGGAGUGGAUAAAUAGGACAUUUCAAUUUCUGCGCCACCUUUUUUGCCACGUAUCCCGUGUGCGACUGUUGCGGAAUUUGACAGGAUCGCCCGGACCCACGCGUCAGCCACUCGGAAGUGGGCCUUUAAAAGCGGCGAGGCCGAGGCGUCCGCACUGUGCGUGCCCAUUCUCCUUCUUCUUCCUCUCGCUCUUUCACCCCAUCCGACUUCUCCACUCUUGACGCCUCAGCUCCGCCGCCAUGGGGAAGGAGAAAACGGCGGCGCUGGAGCGCGCGAAGAAGGCGACGGGGGCGGCGAAAGGCAAGAAGACGAAUCGGGGAUCUUCAUCUCGCUCGGGGCUGCCGCGGGGUUGGAUCCAGGGAGAUUGGAUCCGUUCCUCGCUUCAGCAGGAGGACUUGGAUGAUAUGGCCAAGUCAGGGUUGAUCAUCCAUGGGUCCGCGCGGCUGCCGGAGGGGGAAACGGAGCCACAGCCGCAACCGGGUGAGUGUGUUCUGCUUGCCACCCAUGUCGACCGCGGUUUCUCGCUUCCUCCACACCCCUUCUUUCGAGGUUUCUUGAAUUUCUUCGGGGCUCAACUCCACCAUUUCACUCCCAACACCAUCACAUACCUUGCCGCAUUCGUGUCCAUGUGCGAGAAUUUUCUGGGGUGUCGACCGCACUGGGGUCUCUUCAAGCACAUUUUCACCAUCCGCUCCCAAACAGUGAAGAAAGCGAACUCGAACGACGAGAAAACGCAUGUUAUCCAGAUGUGUGGGGGUCUGGGUAUUCAGAAGAGGAAGAGGAGUUCCUUCCCUUCGAUGACUCUUCCUGAGUCGGUCAGGGGCUGGCAGUCGACCUCGUUCUAUUGCCAGGAUAUUGCGACUCCAGGCCAGUCGACUGGACUUCCCCCUUUCUCUCUUGAUCGUGUUCAAACUCCAUCUUCGUUGAAAGUAACCGCCGCGGAGAAGCCGGAGAUGGGCAUGUUGGUCGAGAGAGUACUUCAACUGAUCAACCAAGGUGUCACCGGCAUGGAUCUGCUGGAGGUGUUCCUCAGUUGACACAUUCAACCACUCCAAGCUCGUGACCACUCCAUGUGGAUGUACUCCAGGGCUGGUGAUACCGCUCGGGUUCAUCCGGAGGAGGUGGAGGCCAAAAUAGUGGCCGAGUGGUUGAGGGGCAUCACCGGGAACAAGGACAACCCUAGGGGUGCCAGGAGGGUCAAACCUUUCAGCGAAAGCAACCAGCCAGACAAGGUUUGGCCACUACACUUGAUUGAAUUUGGAUGUGUUUUCUGACUGUUUGUUGAUUCGACUAAUUUCCACUCGGCUCCUUGUUUUGUAGAUUUAUACAGAGAUGUACUCAAUGCCCAAUGGCGAGCAAGCUCUGGAGCAGGACCAUGAAGGCGAGGACAGCGCGGAGGAGAGCGGCGAGUGGGAGUCACCAGCUGACGGUGAUGAGGAUGAGAGCGAUGAGUCGGACGACGAGGAGGUAGCCGACUCACCACCUCGUUCCAAACAUCGAUCCAAGCAGCACCAUGAUCCCGCAGGCAGGCGCAGCAAGGCUGUGGCCUCGAACGCUCCAUCUCAAAAGCGUGCUCGGUCUUCGACUCCAGAAUUGGCUGAGAAGGUCACCAAGCAGCCCAAGAUCAAUCCUUCGAAGGCUCGGAAGACCCUGCCUAAAAUCAAGAUGGGCGUUCCUGUUGCUUCUGGGUAAAUGUUCUCCCUGUAUUUUCUUGUUCUGACCGAUUCUCUCGUACUGACCGAGUGGAUGAUGAACCUUUACAGCCCGGCCUCGGCUGCGACUGAUAUGGAUAUCGACAAGACUCCAGUCGACGAGGAAACCGCCGAUGCAGCUACCUCCAAAGCCAGUAAGUGUGCCCGACUCAAAUUUAUUUGGACGACUGGAUUGUUUGUCAGCUAUCUCUUUGACUUUCUCUGUCUGUUGCAGCACCACGAGACAUUGUUGUGCUCCCGGACGAUGAAGAAGAAGUACCGCUGAGGGGAAGGAGGAGGAGGGACGCGGAACUGAGCGGGAAGACGCCUGAGGUCCAGGUUCCUCAGUCGACUGAGAUGCCUGAGACGGCAGUCGAGCGAUCGACAGAUCCAGCACGUACCAACGUCACUUUCGCUAUCCCGCUGUCGACUGAUUGCCCAUCAGGAUCAGCUGCUCAGACUUCUGCUGCGCCAAUACCGACUGCUCUGCCAUCAUCGCUUUUCACUGCGUAUCAGACUCCGGACGACCCACCAGCUACCGCCAAAGAAGCUCUUCUUCAGUUGAACCUUGUGAUGGGGCAAAUGAAAGUGGUGCAUGAGGCUAGUCAGGUGGCAUUCAACGCCGGAGCAGCUCUGCAGACCAAUGUCCAGGUUAGUUGAUUCCUGAUUGAUCAUACUUCUCAUCCGAUCACCCAUUGGGUGUGACUGUUAUGAAGUUGUACGAGGCAAUUUGAGUCGUCUUGAAUUGAAUAUUUGAAUUAGUGGGGGCACUCUUAGUGCACCCACUGGGUGUAGUCCCCGAGACCAUAGUUGACUGCGAGCAGUCGACUGUGGUCUGAGAAUCUAAAUUUUGUCACUCGGUCUGGACGGACCAGGUCGAAUGAAACCAGAACCAGUGGGGGCAUGCUAAGUGCACCCACUAGGUGUAGUCCCCGAGACCAUGGUUGACUGCGGGCAGUCGACUAUGGUCUGAGAACUUCUUUUUUUUUACUCUCGCGCUGGGCAGGCCAUGUCGAGUGUUUAUUCAAACCAGUGGGGGCACACUAAGUGCACCCACUGGGUGUAGUCCCCGAGACUGCCGUUGAAUGUUUGAUUCAGUGGUAGUCUUAGAGUAGCUAUCAUUGUGAUGUUUUUCUUUUUUUUAUCUCAGUCAACUGAUAUGGCUUAUACUGCAGAAAUCUUGUGAUCUUGGGGCUCAGUUUUCUGCAAUGAACAAACAGCAAAUCAGCCUCAACCUUGAUCUGGAAUUGGCCAAGAAGAAUCUCAAGACUGCUCGUGAUGAAGUAGCUGCCAUGGGAGGUAACCAAUCGUCAACUGUCUAUCUCACUGCUGGCACUUUUCCUUUCCAUUUUUUGAACCGAGUGACUCCACUCGAGCAGAUGUAUGUAGUGAAAACCGUCAACUCCAAGCCCGUCUGAAGAAUGUUAUUUAUUUAGAGAAAAUGAAGCAGGCUUUGGAGAAGAAGGAUCAGGAUCUUGCUGCUGCACAGAAGGAAGCGCGAGAGAAGACGGCGCUUGCUGACAAGAAGCUUGCUUCAGUCGGCAAGUUAGAAGAAGUGAACUCCAAACUGAAGGCUGCUGUUUCUGACGCCAAUCGGGAGGUCGAGGGACUGAAGAAAGACAAGGACAAGCUGACAAACGAGCUUGGGAGCCUCAAGGCCAGGAAGGGUGAGUUGGAGUCUUAUCUAGGCCAGCUUGCUGCAAAGCUGGUCCUGAAACUUGAAGGUACUAAUGAUUGACUGACUUAUUGCGGUCGACUGUCAAUCCCGAUCAUGUCGUCGACUCACCGUUUACUCAACUGUGCAGAGCUUUGCCAAGAUUUUGAAGCGGAAACUGGGCGGGUCGAGACAGGUCUCGACCCCAUAAAUUGCCCAGUCAAAGAUGACGUCGCAAUGAAUGUGCUGCGAUUGGAAUCUCGCAUGGACAGCGCGGUUGCUUAUCUUGCCCGCCUGAAGACGGCGAUGACUCGGGUUGAUGCUGAACUCUGGCCCCAGGCGGAACUAUCUCAAGACCUCGAGUCUCUGAUGGCUCGACUGAACCAAAUACCUGACCGAGUGCAAGAAUGGAAAAAGUCGUCUGCUCGCUGCGGUGCUGAUGUCGCCUUGUCUCUGGUCCGAGUGCACUGCAAGGAUGUCAAAGAAGACAAGCUGGCGGAGCUCAAGGUUGCUAACACAAAAAGGCACACUUUCCAGUCCUUUAUGGACACUUUCCUUGACGCUGCCACUCGCAUCGCAGACAGCAUAGACCUUGACAGUUUCUGCGACCCAGCCAGUCCUUCUCCCGAUGAGUGACCAAAAAACAUUAUGCUCCACCUUUAUUUGCCUCGGAAUGCUGAGUGAUUGUGCAAUCUUUAAAAUUCUUCGGGCUUGAUGCUCGAGUACUUUUGAUAUGCGGUCUGGAACCUUAGGAUUUAUCUGAACUUUGUUUACCUUGAAAUAUGCUUGCGUUUAUCUUCGAGUGGGUUUUGUUCUUCACUCGGAAUAAUCUUUGAACUUGAGAUGCAGCUCUGAGGAGGAGAUUCCAGUCGACCUGCACCUCAUCGUCCUUAUGGAUGAGGAUGGAGCGUAUGUUGUACUUGUGGUGUAGCUCUAAGGAGAAGGUUGCAGUCGACCUCGUCGUCCUUGCGGAUGAGGAUGGAGCGUACGUUGUAUUUGUGGCGUAGCUCCGAGGAGAAGGUUGCAGUCGACCUGCACCUCGUCGUCCUUGCGGAUGAGGAUGGAGCGUACGUUGUAUUUGUGGCGUAGCUCCGAGGAGAAGGCUGCAGUCGACCUGCACCUCGUCGUCCUUGCGGAUAAAGAUGUGUUUCAAACUUAGGCGAGUACUGGACUGCAGCUAAGCCCCCGAGUGGGAGGGUUGCUCACCACUCGGUGGGAUUUUUCACACUUAGGCGAGUACUGGACUGCAGCUAAGCCCCCGAGUGGGAGGGUUGCUCAUUACUUGGUAGGAUUUUUUCAAACUUAGGCGAGUACUGGAAUGCAGCUAAGCCCCCGAGUGGGAGGGUUGCUCACCACUCGGUAGGAUUUUUCACACUUAGGCGAGUACUGGACUGCAGCUAAGCCCCCGAGUGGGAGGCUUGCUCACCACUCGGUAGAAUUUUCUACACUUAGGCGAGUACUGGCACUACAAAAAAAAAAAGACACAUCCGUGACAUUUUGGGCCGAACGAAAUUUUUUUCUGUCAUACAUAUGACACUUCUAUGACGAUAAUUGUGACAAAACCCGGUAUCAUCAUAGAUGUGGUGGGCUCCUACUUCUAUGACAAAAAAUCAUGACAGAAAAUGGGCUUUUCGGGCUUUUCGUCCUGGGCGGGCCGGAGACGCAGCUGCAUGACAUUCUUUGGGCCGUCCAUAACGGAAAAAACCGUGGUAGAAGCGAGGGCGAGGAAAAUUUCGGGGAGUUCCCGGUUACGGUGGGAGGUCGGGGGCCGAGCGAUGUGUGUUUCUCUUGUACACGUACGCGCGUGUGUGCGAGCCGUUGGCUCUAACUGAACCCGAGUGAGGCGUUGGGCUCUAACUGAACUCGAGCGAUUGCACUGCAGGCUACGCGUUACUGAACCCGAGCGAUCGAUCGAUGGCUGUUAACUGAACCCGAUCGAGCGAUUCCUUCACUACUGCUGCUAACUGAAGCCGAUCGAUUGGAUGAACAGUGAGCGUUGCGGGGGGGGUUGGAUGAACAGUGAGCGGUGGCGUUGCCUCUAGAUGAACAGGACCCCGUGGUGUGGAGGGCUAGAUGAACAGUAGACGGUGGAGGGGUGCCCGUGGAGGGGUGGUUAAACAGGACCCCGUGGUGUGGAGGGCUGGAUGAACAGUAGACGGUGGAGGGGUGCCCAUGGAGGGGUGGUUGAACAGUAGCCGGUGGAGUAGCGCGCGGUGGAGGCUGGAUGAACAGGAGCCCGUGGAGGCUGGAGGAGGUCGACGGUGGAGAUGAACAGUAUCCCGUGGAGUCCCGUUUUGCGGUACGCCACACCCCUCCCGAUGAACAGGACCCNNNNNNNNNNNNNNNNNNNNNNNNNNNNNNNNNNNNNNNNNNNNNNNNNNNNNNNNNNNNNNNNNNNNNNNNNNNNNNNNNNNNNNNNNNNNNNNNNNNNNNNNNNNNNNNNNNNNNNNNNNNNNNNNNNNNNNNNNNNNNNNNNNNNNNNNNNNNNNNNNNNNNNNNNNNNNNNNNNNNNNNNNNNNNNNNNNNNNNNNNNNNNNNNNNNNNNNNNNNNNNNNNNNNNNNNNNNNNNNNNNNNNNNNNNNNNNNNNNNNNNNNNNNNNNNNNNNNNNNNNNNNNNNNNNNNNNNNNNNNGUUUUGCGGUACGCCACACCCCUCCCGAUCAACAGGACCCCCGUUUCGACCGUAGGAGGUCUGUUUCCUCCGUUUUGCGGUACGCCACACCCCUCCCGAUCAACAGGACCCCGUUCCGAACGUAGGAGGUCCGUUUCCUCCGCUGUGCGGUACACCAGGCCUCGUUUCCAUCGCCUGUUCCGUCCAAGCCCUCCCGAUGAACACGACCACGCAUUCCGUUCUGACCCAGCCGAUUGGCUCCCACGCGUUCCGUUGCCUCCCGAUGAACACGACGCAUUCCGUUGCCUCCCCAUGAACACGACGCAUUCCGUUGCCUUCCCAUGAACACGACGACGACGCUGUUUCUCCGUUCCGACCCAGCCAUGUACACGAGCCCUAGCUGUACGUAUGCGCGAGUAGGCGUUCAAGACCCCACCCAUAUAUACACAUACGUGGCCGUAUUUUCUUUCUUGCACCCUGGCCCCUGUACGUACGUGUACAUGCUACGUGCGCGCCUCUACUACGACACGUACGCGCCUCUACUACCACACGUGCGCGCCUCUACAUCCACCAGUAUAUAUGUACGUACACGUUCGCGACCAGAAUGACAACGCUACGUACGCUUCGACCAGGUGGGUCCUGACUGUCAGGCACUUCCUUGCCUGCGAAGAUGUAGCUGGUGGGUCCCAGCAGUCAGGGGGGCGAAUCAUUUUUUUUUGCCUGGGCGCACUUCCUUGCGUGCGAAGAUGUAGCUGGUGGGUCCCAGCAGUCAGGGGCAAACGUUUUUUCGCGAAAUACGGUGGCCCGUCCGGUGGGUCCCCGCUGUCAGGUGGAGGAAUAAUUAUUUUGCACGUAAUAAGGAGGCACUUCCUUGCUGCGGCCGUGGACCCAGCUGUCAGCCUCUCCACCUACAGUCCACGUCCGAUGGAAGCCGUUCCUUGACCACGUUGACCACGCCGCGCCGAGAGCACCAACGCGAUGGACGACGGCGAGGCCUAGGAAGGGGACGACGCGGAGCCGAGGAAGACGCGGCAGUGGAUGCCCACGCGUAGAGGAGUACGAGGGUUCACUGGUUCGCUGCGGUGUGAGGCUACCGUUGCCGCAGAAUAACAGGGGGUGUGGGUGAGUAGAGGGAUGGCCUGGCCAGUGAUGGGAGUAGUAGGGGGCGGUGAGGCCUCCGCCGCAUCGCAGCCGUCCACGGGAGGCUGGAGCACGAGGCACGACCGGCGCUGGUUUGGGCGGCUGGAGCAAGAAGAGCAGAGGCUGAAGAAGCACUACGGCCGUUGGAUGGACACCGUACGGUCACUGGAGCUAGAAUCGUGCAUAUUGACUAAGUUGACAAAGCCCUCCGUCCCCGUCAACUUAGUAGGCCCACAAGUCAGCCUGCCACUAUACUGGGUCCCAGCUAACAGGGGAGUAUUCAUUUUUUUUGUGCGUAAUAAGGAGGCACUUCCUUGUGUGCGAAGAUAUAGCUGGUGGGUCCGAGCUGUCAGCGGCGGUAACUUUUUUUCGCGAAAUACAGAGGCCCUUUCGGUGGGUCCCUGAUGUCAGGUGGAGGAAUCAUUAUUUUGCACGUAAUAAGGAGGCAUUUCCUUGCGUGCGGCCGUGGACCCAGCUGUCGGCCUCUCCACAUACAGUCCACUUCAGAUGCAUGUCGGUCGUUGACCAUGUUGACCAGGCCGCGCCGAGAGCACCAGGGCGGUGGACGACGGCGAGGCCUAGGAAGGGAAUGACACGGAGGCAGGGAAGACUCGGCAGUUGUUUCCCAUGCGGAGGGGAGUACGACUGUACGAGGGUUUACUGGUUCGUCUGCCGUCGCCGGAGAAUAACAGCAGGUGUGGGUGAGUAGAGGGAUGGCUAGGCCAGCGAUGGGAGUACGGUGGGGCGGUGAGGCCUGCGUGGCAGCAGAGCCGACCGCGGGGAGGAGGGAGCAGGCAGUCCCGCCGGCGCUUGUUUGAGCGGCUGGAGGAGGAAGAGCAGAGAUUGAAGAAGCACGACGGCCGUUGGAUGGACAUCCAACAGUCAGUGCUUGUGCGUCAACCUUUUUUUAGGAAAGCCUCAAAUCUGUGGAAAACAGCAUAUAGCCCAUCUGCCAUUAUUUCUAAUAAUUUACAGCCCAUUUGCUAAUUAUUAAGGUUUUUUAUGGAGCCCAUAUUCUUUUUGUUAGCAUUACAGCCCAUAUUGUGGCCACGGUUAAAAAAUUAUACGAAAUUUUGCAUAUUUCGGUGCGGUCCGAACUGUUUUUAAUCCCGAAAUUUUGACUCACAUUCAAACUGAUUUUAAAAAUAAAUGUAUAUCAAUAUAAAAUCCAACAAAUUCUCCACGCAUAAAAAUUAAUGUAAUUUAAAAUCUUGAAAUGAAAAAAAAGAUAUUUGAAACUAAUUGCCGGUUUGAUGUGUUUAAAAAAUGUACAGCCCAUUUCUCAUUACUGAUGGGCCAUUUUCUCGGCCAGCCGAAUGAAAGCUCUCCUCGUCUUGAAAGAUUUGCAGCCCAACAGGCCUGACAAAGCGACUUACUUGGCAAAUCACAAAAAUACUGGGCUGUGGCCGUGGACCCAGCUGUCAGCCUCUCCACGUAUAGUACUCUUCCGAUGGAAUGUCAUUGACCACGUUGACCAUGCCGUGCCGAGAGCACCAAGGCGGUGGACGACGGCGAAACCUAGGAAGGGGACGACGCGGAGCCGGGGAAGACGCGGCAGUGGAUGCCCACGUGGAGAGGAGUACGAGGGUUCACUGGUUCGGCUGCGGUGUGAGGCUGCCGUCGCCGCAGGGCCUGGCUAGCGGUGGGAGUAGUAGGGGCGAUGAGGCCUCAACGGUAGCACAGCCGGCCACUGGAGGCAGGAGCAGGCGGUCUCCCUGGCGCUGGUUUGGGCGGCUGGUGCAAGAAGAGCAGCGAUUGAAGAAGCAGCAGGACCGCUCGAUUCAAAUCCAACGGUUACUGCUGCUAGAAUCGUUUGUUGACUAAGUUGACAAGCCCUGCGUACGCGUCAACUUAGUAGGCCCACAGGUCAGCCUCCCAACCGGUGCGCCCCAGAUGUCAGUGGGAGGAAUCAUUUUUUUCGCGUAAUAAGGAGGCAGUUGAUUGCGUGCGGCCAGGCCAGCGGAGGGAGUAGGGUGGGCCGGGGAAGCCUGCGCGGCAUCACAGCGGGCCACAAGAGGAGGGAGCAGGCAGUCCCGCCGGCGCUAGUUUAGGCGGCUGGAGCAGAAAGAUCAGAGAUUGAAGAAGCACGUCAGCCAUUGGAUGGACAUCCAACAGUCACUGCUGCUAGAAUCGUGUGUUCACUGACAAAGCCUUGCGUAAACAAGCCAGCCUCGAAAUCUGUGGCGUGUAUAGCCCAUUUGCUAUUAUUUUUAUAAUGUUUACUCAUUUUCUAAUUCAUAUGGAAUUUAUUGCAGCCCGUUUUCCAUUUUUAGAAUUGCUGGUCAUUUUCUGGUCAGUACCAGGGUCAAAAAAUUAACUAAAUAUGUGGGAAAUUUUGAAAAUUCGCAAAAUUUUGCUGGGGAACGAAAUAUUCUUAAUCCAAAAAUUAAUAGCCAUACUAAAAGAAAUUUAAAAAUAAAUUAGUACCAUGUCAUGUUAAAUCCAAUGAAAUACGUAUAAGAUAUCAGUGAAGAACAAAAACAAAAAAAGAAACUUAUAUCCCAUUUGCUAUAAUUUUUUUGGAAUUUUCAACCCCUUUUGAUAUUACUUUUAACAGACAUUGACCAUACUCUUAAGCCAGGCCGGAAUGCAUCCCUCCUCGUCUUAAAAGAUUUGCAGCCCAGUAAUUCGGAGAAAACAAAUAGGCCUAGCUUGGGUAUUCUUCAAAAAGAAAUACUGGGCUACCUAUUUUCCCAAAGAACGGGUGCAUGAGCAUUUAGCUUUAUUUAUUUAUUUAUUUACUUAUUUACGUUUAGGGGACCAUGAGCAUGUACCUAGGCCGGAUUCAUGUGAGAGCCUCCCUUCCAGUUAAUUAUGGGCUUCUCUAUUGGGCCUUCAUCAGUGGGCUGCAUGUUAUCAACAAGUGGAAAAUGUGUUCCGUACGAAAAAUAGUAUGCGCUACGUACGGUACGGGGCACUAAAGGAUCGAACCGUGCAACGACUUCAAAAACAUUGUGUUUGUCAUUCUAACAACACAUUUAUUCAACCAACAGACGAAAUAUACUACUGAUUGUACAUUGAAAACAGCAGCAGCAACCAGGGCUGGGGGUGCAACAGAAGCAGUAAGCAGGCCAGAAGAGUGAAGACGCAACUCUCUCUUCCAUCAUUACAAAAGGGCUACCAAAAAAGAACAAGUGUAUGCAUCGAACUAAAUAAAGAUCCUACUACACCAAGUGUACGCAUCUAACUAACUGGCUCAGUUAGACGUUACUAUUUAUUAAGCUGUGGAGAUUGGCUGACGGCUUGAACCAGAUGGGUGCCUGAUGGGGGAAACUCCAGCCAGCAGGUCGAAGUCUGAUACUUGCGACCCUCUCUCCUACUUUGGGCUGUAGAGCGUGGCGGCACAUAUCAGGGUAUGGUGCAUGCGAAGACGCAUGGUACGCUGUGUACACACAGUUUUUCCUGAUGGACGAAACCACGCUGCCAUCAUGAUCCUUGUCGUCGGUUAUCUCCUGGUUAAUCGGAUAAUUCAGUCCGACAAACAGUGAGCGUGUACCAAGGCUACUUACCAGCCUCCAGUCAAAAAUUCCUGAAGGCCCAGAGAAGCUGGGAUCCUGCUCAAAGACCUUGCAGUGACUGUGAUUGUAUUCCACGAAACAACACGUCCGGUACGUGCGAACGAUCAUCAAUCUUUCGUCGUCGUCUGAUCGAGCCAGGAACCACCUGCAACUGCCAUGUCGCUUUUCUUUGAAAGGUUCUAGGAUUACGAAGGGUAGGGACACCAGGCGGCCUACAACAUCAUAUCAAGUUGGAGUCAAAUAAAAAAGGGCUCUUGAUUUAGUCAAUCUUAAGAACAGCAUGUUAUGAGCAUGAAUAUUUUUUCAGCAAAUGUUGACAGUAAUAUAAGCAAGCCAUCAUGAUAUCAUAGGAAAGUAGCAUACUGCUGUAACAGCCGUUUGUAGCGAUGACUGGAGUAGGCCAGCAUUACGUCCAGCCAUAGAAGGAGCCGACAGCGUAAAUGAAGCCCUUGUGUUCAAUGGCAUCAGAGAACCAUGGAGGAUGUAUGAUCCUGCGAUGGACGUGCAGAUUUAUCCACUUACCGCAGUGACCUGUUAGAUAGGCGAGACCGCGGUUAAUACUUAAAUAGUAUAGCCAACUGUUGACUAUAAGAAAGUGCCAUGUCAUCUGUAGCCAACAUGUAUAACAAUGGAUAGUCAAAAACUAAUUCUUGAAGAUCAUUUCUUGCAAAGCACAAUAAGAGUUAUUUCUUCACAAGUUUUGGAUGCAGGUUGAACAGUUGAACGCUUUUGUUUGCAAAAGAUACUUUUUAAUCUAUUUCACCCGGAUGUUUGUGAGCUCUAGAGAUGAAAUAAUAUCCGAACAAACCUAUCGAUACCCGUUACACAUGAGAUGACCCCCACAUCCUUUGUCAAAAUAAACAACUCCCCGAUCGAUGCAUUUCACUCUUCCGUGCAACGCACGGGCACCUUACUAUAGAUUAGUACGACCAAAAAUUGAACUAACAUUAUAUAUAGUAUGAUAAAUGAUGAUGCAUGUCACCUAAAAUUAUAUCAUUGAAAACUAUGUUCAAAUACGAAUCCAACGAUAUUGUUUUUGUUGACAUGCACUAACAUUUUGUUGGUUAAAUCUUCAGUCAAAUUCAAUGGGGGAUAAACCACGACCGAUGUAGUACUAGUGUAGAGGGCGGCGCUGCACGGGAGUCUCGCCCCGCUCGUGGCGCGGCAGUAAAGCCGUCAUAUCACAAAACCCAACAACUCCCAGUAAUAAGUGGUCUGGUAAAAUAAACGGACAAGCAACCAUCACAUCCCUCCGUCUUUUUUGCAUUUCAUCUCUCUGCAUUUACUUUCUCCGGUUCAUCUCGCACACUCGAUCCCUAGCUACUACUCCUAGUAUCCCUAGCUACUACUCCUAGGGCCAGUUCUUUUGGCGGCUUCCCCAACUUUUCCCAUAAGACUAGUCAUAGUGGAGAGUAACAUUAAGGCGCCUCACUCAUUUAUUUGGGAUUCUAAACUACUACUAGUAGUACCUCCGUCCUGGUUUAUUCCUCACCAUUGUAAUUUGUGCUAAAUUUUGACCAAAGAUUUAACUGAUAAAAUAUUAGUGCAUGUGACAUGCACUAACAUUUCAUUAGUUAAAUUUAUGAUCAAAAUUUGACACAGAUUACAAUGGGGACCAAUAAACCAGGACGAAGGUAGUAGUUAGAGCAUGGUUAAUAGUAUAGCCAGCUGUUGGCUAUAAGCCAGUGCCAUGUCAUCUACAGCCCAUCUUAUAGCCAACAUGUAUAAUAGUACAUCAAAAGAGUGUACUAGUUUUUUAUUAUGUGGCCCACCUUUCAUUCUCACAAAGUGCUUAGGAGCACGUGCUAGAGCUGGCUCUUCACGAAGAUCCCGCUUACCUUCUCUCUCCUCUUCUCUUUCCUCCAACUAAGCAGAGAUAUACUAGUUUAUUCCUUAUAGCCCGCUGACUCAGCUCUAUUAUACUUGCUCUUAUGGGAUUACUAAUCUAGAAGCCUAAAAGAACUGGCCCCUGGUACUCCUACUAGUAUUAGUACUCAAGUUGGAAUUCCAAUUGCACGACACAACUUGUUAGGCAAAAAAUUCGAUACAGGGUGUAGGAAGCGGUUUGGGAAUUUGCAUGCCUUUCCAACCAGUGAGAUACUCCGUACAAAGUAUGACAAAGAAAUAACCACAGAGAAGGAAGCUAGAAGUAAACAAUCAAACGAGCAUUUUUGCAUUUGUUUUGCAUUGAAUCGUUUCACAAGCUUGACUAGUGAUGUUUUUCUACUUUUACAAAAACCGCAUCGUAAUGUUAAAACAUGCAUUUGCACGUACAUAAGUAAUAGUAGUACUCCCUCCAUCUAGGUGUAUAAGUCUUCCCUCCUUCUUAGUCACGGUGCACAACCAAAGAUGACUUAUUGACCUGGACGGAGGGAGUAGCACAGUCUGCAAGCAUAUAUCGAGAGAGACGUGUAGUGCGAUAGUAUAUAGUAAAGUUUGUGCUAUAUGCACGUACUUGCAAAAUGCGUACGAAUACACAAGGUUUCCAAACUUUCCCUUUUACAUACUUAAUUAAGGACGCUAAAAAUUCCUGAACGUUCGGGAUUUAUCAUUUGCGUCCCAAAACUAAUGAGAUCGCCCUACGAAACAAAAAUUAUACUCCUCCUAAAAGCCACGGCGCUCGCAGGAGCGCUUGCGGCACACCACGAGUGCCCUGGUGCGCGGCCGUUUCCCAGCGCGCCGACACAACGCCUCUUCCUCAGCCUCGCAUUUCGCGAGGUGCUGAUUGGCGGCUUGCCGGCGGGCGAGCGCGAUCUCACCGGUGUGGUGAUCCGGCGCCAACAGGUACUCCUCCUCGCUGGAAGCCUGCACCCGGUCCACCUACCGCCAAGCGUAGAUGAGGCGCUUGGGCCCGACUGCACUCAGGGUGUCGGCACGGGCGUCCUCCGCCACCCUCACGGCCCUCGCACAAGCCUUCUGCCAAAGAGCCAAUUGCCUGACUCUCUCGGACGCGACAUAGGCCUCCCAGGCAGCUUGUUCCGCGGUGCGCUUCUCUUCCUCGGCCUUCUUCUCCGCCUCUAUUUUGACGCGCUCUGCUGGAGGCAAAGCCUCCCACAAGGCGACAUCCAUUUCUUUCCAAAGCUCCUCAAGGCUGGGGGGCUCGGCGGGCGGUGCGGCGUUCUCCUCGUAGCGGGGAGCCGACGCGUCCUCCGGCGCGCGUGCUGGCGAGAUUGGGAACGCCGACGCGUCCACCUCGACGCGUCGCGGCGAGGAGCGGAACGCCGACAUGUCCUCCUCGACUAGUGGCGGCGAGGAACGGAACGGCGACGCGUCGUGUAGCGGCGGGGAGCGGAACACCGACGCGUCCUCCUCGACUAGUGGCGGCGAGGAACGGAACGGCGACGCGUGACCGUCCGCGUGGUGCAGCGAGGGGCUCCUAGGGCUUGGGAGGGGCGAUGCCAUGGUGGUCGAUGUGAGAGGGAGGGGGAGGAGAUAGCGAUGAACGUGAACGUGAGGGGGAGGAGAUAGCGAUGUCGUGGGAGGCGCAGUAUUUAUAGCGAGCAAUGGCACACCUACAUAAGAUAUGGACUGAGCUGCACUGACUUAACUGCAGGUCCAGUUGCGUCACUGACAUGUGGGCCAGACCCCUGUUGGGCCCAUAUGUCAGUGACUCAAUGCACCUGCAGUUAACUAACAGCUACGUGGGCAUAUUUGUCGGUCUUAGGGCUUUGCAUUGCCGGUCUCUACAUAGGUAUUUCUCUUCAUAAUCCUAUAAUUUUAGAGACUGAUUGCGCUUUUGUGGUAGCGUCUCUUGCAUCGGGGGACUAUGACAGGUCUGCUAUGCGUGACCUGAAGAUGAAAGCGUUGAGCAUCUCGAAGUUUAUCAACAAUCUUCAAUUGUCAAAGAUUAGCCGUUCGGCCAAUAAGGUGGCACACUUAAUCGCUAAGUAUAGCUUUGAGAAUAGAUUAGAUGGUAUUCUUGUAAAUAACGUACCGCCCUGUGUGGUGAAUAUUGUAUCGAAUGAGUGUACUGGUGUGGCUGGUGAAUUAAUAUAAGGUGGUUUUAAAAAAGUAUAAAUUUGGUCAAACACUUUGCAAAUGGUUGACGGGAGUAAAAAGGACCAGAGGGACUAUCAUGCAUGCGGAGUAGGCAAAAAAAUUGCUUGUCUAAAAAAAGGCAAAAAAUUUGCUCAUUUAUAGCCGGUCGAAGUCUCAAAGGGCGCGACCGCACGAGGGAGGCGAAGGUCGUGGGAGGCACGACGUUUGACGGAAUUAAGUGAAGUUACAUCCACGCGCCGGCAUGGCGUGAGAACAGGCAGAAGCUAUACCGUCAGGCCUACGAUAUGGGUCUAGUAGACAUGACAUCUAGUGGGUCCCGCAUAGUUCUCGAGAACUCUUUGGGGGCUUGCAGCCGUUUAUCCACCGGGCAAGCCAGCAACCCCAUGCCGUUCGCACGCCCUACUCGUCCCCGUCUUCUACCUUACAACAGUUCGCUCCUAGUCGUCCUGUCCUUUCACAUUAGUUCGCUCCCAGUUUUUUUUUGCGGGGUACAACAGUUCAACUUCUCCUAACCCUCCUCCAAAAUCCAUGGCCUCCCAAAUCUCCAUGGUCGCCGCUGAGUACCAGGUUAGAGCCAUCACCGGCGAUUAGUUCAUCAUCAUCUACACACGUGGAUCCGAGACGGUGAAAGCAUGGCUUGCUCGCUUCCUACGCAUGUUCAACAGUUCAACGGAUAAGUGGGUCACUGGGCUAGAUGUUGAGUACACCACAGUCCUAGGACAAGAGAAGGAUCUAAAGGACGAAGAGAGGAAGAAGCCCGCCGUGAUCCAGGUUUGCGUACAUAACGUUUGCUUGGUCUACCACAUAUGCCAUGCCGACGUUGAGUGCCAGGAUUUUAAGAACUUCCUCAAGGAGAAAAGAGUGAAAUUCAUUACUGUAGGCUUUAAGAACGACAGGGAUGUCCUGCGUCGGAUAGGCUCGCGGAAGGACGUGUUGCCGGCACACGCGCGGAUUCAAUGAAGGCAGGCGGGGCAGUCUUAAGCUGGUUGCACGCGGCGAGGAGGCGUGCUCAGCCGGGCCUGCAGUGAGUGCGGCCCUCUUGGCCGGCGCGCCGGUUCAAUGCCUGCGCUAUGAGAGGUCACGUCCGUGUCAGAGCAAUCACUCCCUCCAGUCCUUUUUUGUUUGGGUAUAACAAAAUCUCGUUUUCCAUUCACAUUUUACAAGUAAAAUUUGUGGACAAACUUUGACCCAAAGUACGAUGGGGACUAGUAAACCAGAAUGGAGGUCGUAGUUUUUUUAAUCAAAGAAGGGUUUCCCCUUCCGAUUUUCAUUACUGAAAACCAGCAUCUAAAUCUAAACCAUAGUAUUUGCCCUAGAACUACUAGGUUCAACAUCUUGCAACAUAAACCCAUACAACCUCCAUCGCAAAAAAACCAUACAACCAUACGCCAAGGAGGUACGUAGUACUAUGAAUUCCAUUUUCGCUCCAUACCAAUCAUUCUAAAAACUACUUACUACUUAUAACGCGCCAUUGAAAAUCGGAACUCUUAACCCCGCUAAAAAAUGAUAUUUUAAACGUGGCUACUCGAUCUGUGGCAACUGGCGAGCCACCGCGCUCCAAGUCGUUCACCUGUGGUCCCGACCAUCAACUCCUACGGAUCAAAUUAUCACGCGAGCUGACUAUUCCUACAAAGGUGCUCCACCACGUACCCGGUACCCGCGAAUGCAGCAAUCGUGCACCUAAGGUUUUAGGGUUUAUUUGUUAACGUCGCCUUUACGUAACACUCAUGUGUGCGAGACAGCGAGAGGCUGACUGCGUGCGUGCGCUUCUUCUCUUCGUAUAUGUACUCCACCAUUUGUCUGGUGUCCAAAAAAUUAUAAUAACUACUAGCAAUGUGCCAAUGCGUUGCCACACGAUCAAAGUAGAUUAAUACAUAUUCACCGAUUUGAUAGAAAAAAGUCUAGUUUUGAAAUACGUAUAUCACUAAAAAUAUGUUAUGUUUCACUCAAAAUAUAUUCCUUUGGCGGUUUUGAUGAGAUAAGGGAGGAAUGUUGUUGGUUUCAAGAUUCGAGAAGUGGUAUAUGUCUAAUUUCUACUCUUACUAGCAAGAUGCCCGUGCGUUGCACGGAACAUCAAGAUCUUGUGGGAGAAAAGGAUGAACGAGGGAAGGCCUUAUCUGUAAAUGUGGUGAAGAGUGCGGGUAAAUUGCCAUAUUUUCCUUCCUAUCCGUCAGAUAUAAAUCGGACGACCUACAUUGUAGGAUGGCAGGCCCACCAUCAUCACCAACUCUAUUUUUUAUCCCUACUCUUAUAAAAAGCAUUGUCGGUGAUGAUCGUGUGCCUGCCAUCCUGCAAUAUAGGCCGUCCGAUCUAUAUCUUACGGAUAGGAAGGAAACUAUGGCAAUUUUGCAAAAAGAUACCCAUACCCCUCUCCACAUUUGCAAAUAAGGCCUUCCCUCAUUCAUCCUUUUCCCCCACAAGAUAAACUACUCAUACAAAUGCAUCUUGAUGUUCCGUGCAACGCAUGGGCAUCUUGCUAGUUGUUGCAAAAAGCCCAUGUGUGUGAGAGAGAGAGGGAGAGUGGAGGAGGACGGAGUGCAUGUGUGACAAAGACACAAGGAGUGUGUGUGCGAUAGGUAUCAGCUUAAAAUGAGGCGAUAGUGUGUGUGUGCACGAUCGAGAGAGCGUGUCUCAAGAAGGGAAGAAAAAUCUACAUAGAUACAAGGAGCGGGAGAGAGACAUGUAUGCGAUGGUGGAAGCACGAGUGUGCGGGUGUAUAAACCUAUCUAGAGGCUAGCUAGUCGAUAAAUGUUUGUGAGAGAAAUACGAGUCGGGGUGCGAAAGCGAGAGUUUUGUGUGUGUGAGAGAGAGACGGUAGUCAGGAAGGGGAGUGGAAGCAGGAGUUGUGUGUGUGUGUGUCUGUGAGAGAGAGAGAGAGGAGACGGUAGUCGGGGUUGUCUGAUCGGUAAACAAAUGAAUAAUGUCAGUCUGGGAUGGAGACGAAAAGGAGACCGCAACAAAUGUUGUGUCUACAGGAGAGAGAGAGAGAGAGAGAGAGAGUAAUUUUAGUGGUAUGAGUCAUAUGUAGAGACAUAUAGGGUGUGUGAGAGAAUCCCAUAGAGGGAAAGACAAACUGAAAGACGAGUGGAGACUGUGUGUGUGGCGGUGAAAAAGAAAGCUUAGGUACCGAGUGAUAGCAGAGAACAGUAGAGACGUGAGAGAUAAUGAAAACCGUGUAAUGUAUAAUGAUAGGGAGAGUGUGACACUUCUCAAGGGAGACGUCGAGAGACCAUGUUUGCGAGGAUAGGAGAAACAUGAAGUGAGCGUGCGGGUGAGCUAGAGAAAAGAGAGUGAUAGCUACCUGAAGGAGCAUGCAUGCGAGAGAGAUGGGCGUGAAAGGAGUGAACAAAAAAGGGAUUCAAAUAUUUGAAUUCGAGAUGAUGAUACAUGUAAUCCAUACUCGAACCAAAAUUGAUCUAUCAAACAUGCAUACUCAUAUGAAUUCACGCACAUCUAUGUUAUUUAAUAUGUAGAUAUUACUGAUCCAUACAUUUUAGUAGAACAUAAUUUGGUUAAAUUUUUUCGAAUUCAACCUUAAGAUUUCGAGAUCGUUGUAUUUGUAAAUCAUAUUAUACAUAUAAAGGAGCAGAAUUCUUUGUUGUGCUUUUGAAAGUAUAUAUAAAAAAUGAUGUAUAUAGAAUGUAAUUCCAAUUUAAAAUGGAUCCCGCGGGAAAAAAUAGAAUACAAACGGGAUUCGAAUUGAGUUGGCACGGUAAAUGUGCACUCUGCAAAAUUUGAACGAAGCGGGGAAAGUCGCAGUAACCGCCCGAAACCAAAAUCUGCGAGAUGGAAAUCACUACUGCCUAUCCCUGCCACGCAAAGCCUAUCUGCUGGAUUUCUAUAGGUUUCGAUAGGGGUAGGUUUGUAAUUUCACCCAAACGUGACGUAACCGCCUCUCACCCGGAUUCAUACACGGUGGGCGCCAAAACACAGUGUGUCCUCGGCCGAAAUCGAUUCCCUCCCCGAUUCAUAUUCAUACACGGUGGGCGCCAAAAACAAACUCUCGUCGGCAAAUAUUCGGUGUAUGCGAGAUUACCGUCCUAUCCCCAACCGACUAAUGUUGCUGUGAUGUAGUAGAAAUUUGAAACGGGGGCUAAGUUUGUAAAUUUCCUCGCAUUUGAGACAAGCGCGCCCUGAAUACAUGGUUCCCCCCUUCCUCUCUACCUCCCUUUUCCCCAUUCGUACUCCGUGGGCGCCAAAACACCCUCUCCACCCCACCCUCCUCCGUCCGCCGCCGUCCGCCACCCCAUCCACCGCCGUCCUCCUCCACCAUGUCGGAGUUGAUACCCCGACGCCGCCGUCCAUUACAAGAGAUCAACCUCUCUCAUCCACGGCUUCGGACCGGGAUCCUUGCAUCCCGUCCUCUCGCUUCAUCCCCGCCGUCAUCCACCUUGCCGGCGCCGCUCUACGACCGUCUCGUCCACCGCACCCCACCGCCACCGUCUACCCUCCUAGAUCUGCUUCCACGCCGCCGACAGCCAUCGCUACCGCAGCACCAUCAAAUUCUCAGCAGAUGCGUACACGGCGCCGCACGAGAGGCGGUACUCUUUCGUAUCUGCUCAACUUAUUUAUCGCAGCAAGAAAAUAGAUCGCCACUGCUUUACUCUGAUUUCUUGUCUUGGUUGCGAAGUUUCCUUUGUCCGGUUUGCACCUUCAGAUCCGCCAUGGCAUGCUCAACACUAUACUCCCAAUGCUUAUGGUUUUCCCCUUUUAUAUUCCACACUAGUUAAAUCACACUAGACUAAAUUUCAAAAUUAGGUCAGUCAAUUUUUCAGAGCUCGCCGGAGUUCGCCGGUGCGAUCGAAGGGGCUCGGGUGGUUGUGGGGCCUCGCCGAACGAAGGAAACUCGACACGGGUGGGGGUUGGGGCGGGGGUGGGGUGGCGGAGGAACACAGGCGGUGGGGGCGGUGGUCCGGCCGGCGGCCCGUGCGGUGUUCUGUAUGGGAAGAAUCAGAGACGAGGAAGAAGAAGGGUUAGGAGACGUAGGAUCUUCAUCCAACCGCCUGAAAUGGUCGAGAGACAGCUGGGAGUUGCAUUCUUAAUGCGCUCUGGUUCAUCAUGUGUGGGCACUGCGCAACCAACAUUUUAUUAUCCAAAAUCUGCUUGCUCUUCUUUACCAUGUUCCUCUUCCGUUCUUCUUUAAUAUGUACUCUCUCCAUUCCUAAAUACAAGUCUUUGUAUAGAUUCCACCAUGGACUACAUAUGGAGCAAAAUGAGUGAAUCUACACUCUAAAAUGUAUCUGGAUACAUCUGUAUGUGAUCCAUAGUGGAAAUCUCUACCAAGACUUAUAUUUUGGAACGGAGGGAGUAUGAUAGUAGUACAGUAUGUUCCUUAUACUGAAGAUGAGCAGGGACAUUUGCAGUGUAGAGGUCUAUACGGUCGGUUGUGAUGGACACUUUGAGCCUCUUUGAUUCGUAGGAUCUUGUAAACAUAAGAAUAGGAUUUGUAGUGGCCUGCCCACUUGAAUCCUAUAAGAAUAGCAAGGAAAUGCAGGGAGCUGUGUCGCCUUUGAGAGUUACACUGAUAUUAACAGUACCGCACCUUCACUUGAAGAGAGCUGGUAUCCGAAGCCUUUCUAGCCGUAUCGGCAAUACUAGCACAUAUAUUCCAGCAAGUUCCACUUUGCUGAUUUUACUCUGAUGCUUAAGGUUUUCCCGUUAUAUCUACACUAUGAUCUGUGUAGCUGCCUUGUGUCGCACUAGCAGCAGUCCACUCUUGAAGCUAAACACUGCAAUGACUUACAAAAUUGGCACCAAGGCAUUGAGUGCCAUUCUGGAUGCAAGGAAACUCGUACGCUCCCCACCUGUUGAUUCUUGUUCAGAAUAUGAUCCUAAUGACUAUUCUAACCUCGAGGAGUCAAAGGCAGAUGGCCUGUCCUGUUCACCCAUCAAGGUGCCUGUUCUAAUUUGGCAAUGUUUUAUUGAUUGCGGGUAUCUUGCAUAUGUUGUCUUGCAUUUCUUCUACUUUGUUGCACCGCCAUCUGCUUAGUUUACUCAUCAUAUAUGUCGAGAUGCCAUGCCCAUCCAUUAUCAAUACAUAUUCCAUCUGUCAUCAUACCAUGUUUUUUCACUCAAAUGUUGUUCUUGUGCAUCAGACAUCAAAAAGGAAGAGGGUGAUUGCCGAACCUGAGGGAGCACCAGCAAAGUCCUUGAAAAAUGUGGUGGUGCCGGAGAAAUCAGACAGCACCCCACUUAUAUUGGUUGUACAACCAGUGACACAAAACAUAGGACCGACUCCAGCAGACUGUACCCAUACUUCACUGGCCACACCACUAGCCCCACCACACAGGACCUGCACUCCAGCAAAAGGUAUACCGAUUUGAUUUGCCAUAGCACCAGCUGUACCACAGAAAAAUCCCACUCCAGCCAAAAGUACAGCAAGUCCACCGGCCGAAGACCUAUCCCAACUGUAGAGACGGCCAAUUCCUGCAGAUUGGAACCCCAUUCCAUUUAUUCCCAGUUUAAAAGACAAUGCUUUCAAUGCUGUUAGGGACUACGUGCAUAUAUUCCCAUCAUGGGAAGAUUAUUGUGAAGACAAACACCAUUUUCACAUCUUCCUGUCCAACUUACGUGUAAGUGCUAUUAUUCAUGGUUAUUAUUUUCCUGUUUUCUGCUGAUUGAACACAUCAAGGAUUUACAUUACAUUGUUGUAACUAGGCGAGGGUCAAUCUGGAUAGUCAUGACGAGCAAAGCUUGCUUGUGCUUUUCAAGGAAGCAUUGCAGCAGUAUCGGUGUUACCUGAGGAAAUCACGCUUUGAUGGCAAGUCUAUAAACGAAUUUCUGGUGAAGUCUCCUGUGCUAAAUUUAGAAGACAUUGAAUGGAAAAACCUUGUUAUGCACUGGUCUCAUUCCCAGGAUGAGGUACUGUCUAUGAAAUCACAUGACAAUUUGAACUUCUACUUUUCCGCAUGUGCCUUACGGAUCUUUUUUGCAGGAAAUCUGCUCGAAGAAGAAUUCUGGUUUGACAAGAACGACAGGAUAUCGCAAAUAUGCUGCCCGCUGCUUUGCUCUUGUUAGUACCUGUUGUCCUGUAUCACUGUACUUGCAUACAUACCUAGUUCAUUAUGUGACAGCAGUAUGCAUGAUAGCUUGCUUAUCAAUUGUUCGCUCCAAAUUAUCUGAUCUGUAUGAAUGGUUACAUUAGUGUAGAAUAUAUCCAAUGCCAAUGUUUUUUUAGCUCUGCAUUGUUCUUGUAAGUACAUGCUGUCCUUUAUCAGUGUACUUAUAAUGACAGGUAGUUGUUCAUGUACCAUCACUCUGCAGCUUAUUUUCCUUUGCCCUCCAUUUUCUACACAUCAGAUCUAUAUUUACUCUUACCAUAAGGUUGGUACUGAAGAAGUUUAGCUGUGCAUUGCUCUUGGCUGUACCUUUUGCCUGUAUCGCUGCACUUACAUUUAUAGCUACUUGGUUAUGUAGCAUCACUCUUCAUCUUAUCUUAAAUAUUCUCCAUUUUUUUGUAUAUUAUCACAUCUAUAUUUACUCUUAACAAAAUGUAGAAUAAAGGCAAUGCUUUUGAAGAAGAUUAUGUGGUAAACUUCUUGAAUUGCCCCCCCCCAUCAGCAUGGACAAGGCCUUUAUAGAGUCUAUCUUCACCAAUAAUGUAAGUUUGUCCAUCUCAAGCCUUCAAACUUUGUUGUAUAUAUUUGGUUAGGCAUGACUGCAACAGCUGUUUAGUUUUGGUGUUUGCAUCAAAUUGCUUGUUUAAAUUUUAUUAUGUACUUCAUAAACAAAAGUUUGUCCUUUCUAAAUUUAAGUUUUCAGUUGUACAACCAAGUUCCUUCUUCAUACCAUGUAAGUUAAACUAUACAGAGCAAGUGAUCUUCUUUUGCACUGCAUGUAUGCUUCUGUUCUUCAUCCGUAAUCCAGUGGUGUGGUGAACCUACCCACUACAGCACAAUGUCAUAUUCUGCAAUGUCUUAACUAUGAACAAUGUCAUAUCAUUCUACUAUUAUUUAAACCGUCUCUUUAUUUGCCAAUCUGAAAUGGUAUAAAUUGACAGCACACUAACCAUUGAUACUUAUGAGUUCUUGAUCUGUAAUCCAGUGGUGUCGUGAAGCUGCCAACUCCUUCACAAUGUCAUUUCCUGCCAUGUCUUGACCUGAACAAUACCAUAUUGUGUUAAUGCAAUUUUAAACUGUGUCACUUUAUUCGUCAGUAAGAAAUGUGAUGAAUUGUCAGCACUGAUACUUUUAUGUGCAAAACCUGUCAUUUGUCUGCUUGUUUAUCUUUCAGAGUGAGGAAGAUAUAAGUGUUGAACAAGCACAGUCUCAUCAUCUUGCUCAGCUGCUUGCGUUGCAGCUCCCCGGCAGGGCUAACCUUUCUUGAACUCUAUUGAAGUGCUGUCGGUUUUGCAUAUUAUUUUGUCGGCGUGUUUAUUUGCACUGGUGGCGAUCUUUGAUGCCCAGUGUAUGUAAUCUGCUGUCUGCUUGUGCUUUAUUAUCAUAGUGGCGAACUUUGAUGCCCAGUGGAUGUAAUAUGCCGUAAUUUCUUUAUUGUAUAGUCUAGGUUUUUUCUUAUUCACGAUGCUGUAGUUAUUUUACUGUAUAUAUAUCCUGUCUUUGCAGUAAACCGGCCAAACCGUAAAAUUACGGUACAUAAUCGGGCCGUCAUGCAAUCACGAUGUAGGUUGGGCCUGAAACGUGCCGAACAGCUCACGGGCCGGCAGGAGCCCGAAAUGAACCCCGGCCCAUGAUUGUGCGAAUCAAAUCACGGGCUUUUAACAGGCCAAAAUUGUCUCGGUCCUUGUUUGGCCCAAUCAGAUAUCGGCUGCGAGCAGGCCAGAUGCAAACCGGGCCGUAGUUAGGCCCAACUAUAUGACGGGCUUUUAACAGGCCAAAAUUAAUAUAUGGCCGAAAUGUUAAACGGGCCCUUAACAGGCCAAAACUAAUAUCAGGCCAAAUUACUAAGUGGGCCUUUAGCAAGUGGGCCCAAAAGCAUAGUGUCCAGUUGACGGGCCGAAUCUGAUAUGGGCCAUAAUUGAGCCCAAAGCCUCUUAAAGGGCCGGACCUGAUCUGGGCCGUAAUUUGGCCCAGAACGUGGUAGGCUUUUAACGGACCGGAUCUCAUAUGGGCCACUAUUAGGCCCGGAGCGUGGCAGGCCAUUAAUGGACCGGAUCAAAUAUGGGCCGGCAUUUGGCCCAAAACAUGGCAGGCCAGUUAAUGGGCCGGCCUACUAGGGUCCUCAAAAUCUUGUGGGCCUACAGCUGGGCCGACCCAUUAAUGUCGGCGAAAUCUCGUGGGCCUUUAGCUGGGCCGGCCCAUUAUGAUCCGCAAGAAUCUUGUGGGCCUUUACCUGGGACGUCCCAUUAUGGCACACAAAAAUCUUGUGGGCCUUUACCUGGGCCGGCCCAUUAUGGCCCGCAAAAUCUUGUCGGCCUUUAGCUGGGCCAGCCCAUUAUGGUCCGCAAAAUCUCGUGGGCCUUUAGCUGGUCCGGCCCAUUAUGGUCCGCAAAAUCUUGUGGGCCUUCAGUUGGGCCGGCCCAUUUAAACUUGAUGGGCCAGUCCACGUGUCAACAUAUCAUAGGCGCGUCUCGCCCAUUGGAUGAGUGACACCUGUGCCAACGCGGACCUGACACGUGUCUCCUCCAGCCAAUGAUGAUUUUACACGUGGAAAAUCCCCAUUGGUCGGGGCUGUUAACGGGUUAUCGAAUCCAAAACCAGACCUGAUAGCUUAACGGCGUUCCGUUACGGUGGAUGCCACGUGUCAGUCACCCUUGACGAAAGCACUUCUGUGACGCGCGAUUUAUCGUCAUGGAAGUGGACACUUCCGUGAUGAUAAUUUUGGUAAUGUCAUGGAACACUUCUACGACAGCACAGGUAUGACUAUCUUGAUUCUGUCAUAAAUUUGUCAUGGAUGUACAUGCAUGACAAAAAACGCGGCCUACUGUGACAAACACGUAUCAUCACGGAAGUGUAUUUUUUUGUAGUGUGGACUGCAGCUAAGCCCCCGAGUGGGAGGGUUGCUCACCACUCGGUAGGAUUUUCUACACUUACGCGAGUACUGGACUGCAGCUAAGCCCCCGAGUGGGAGGGUUGCUCACCACUCGGUAGGAUUUUUCACACUUAGGCGAGUACUGGACUGCAGCUAAGCCCCCGAGUGGGAGGCUUGCUCACCACUCGGUAGGAUUUUCUACACUUAGGCGAGUACUGGACUGCAGCUAAGCCCCCGAGUGAGAGGCUUGCUCACCACUCGGUAGGAUUUUUUACACUUAGGCGAGUACUGGACUGCAGCUAAGCCCCCGAGUGGGAGGCUUGCUCACCACUCGGUAGGAUUUUCUACACUUAGGCGAGUAUUGGACUGCAGCUAAGCCCCCGAGUGGGAGGCUUGCUCACCACUCGGUAGGAUUUUUUAAACUUAGGCGAGUACUGGACUGCAGCUAAGCCCCAGAGUGAGAGGCUUGCUCAUCACUCAGUAGGAUUUUUUAAACUUAGGCGAGUACUGGACUGCAGCUAAGCCCCCGAGUGAGAGGCUUGCUCAUCACUCGGUAGGACUUUUCAAACUUAGGCGAAACGGAUUCGCGGCUAAGCCCCCGAGUGAGAGGCUUGCUCAUCACUCGGUAGGAUUUUUCAAACUUAGGCGAAACGGAUUCGCGGCAAAGUCACCCACUGGGGGAUUUCAGACGCAAACAAAAGUAACAACAACCAUUUAGGAAGACUGUAAAGCUCUUGUCUUUGAUAAACAAACUACAAAGGUAUUUCUUAUUACAUCUCAUCCGAAUGAGUACUCAAGUAUAAAAGGGCCGGAGUAGCUCCGCGUUCCAAGCCCGUGGCUCGUCUUUCUGAUGCUCGACAUUGUAAAGAUGGUAUGCUCCAUUGUGGAGAACUCUGGUGACAAUGAAGGGACCUUCCCAAGCAGGGGCGAGCUUGUGUGGUUUCUGCUGAUCCACUCGAAGAACCAAGUCUUCCUCUUGAAAGGCUCGGCCCCUCACGUUUCUGGCGUGGAAUCGACGCAAGUCUUGCUGAUAAAUGGUCGACCGGAUUAAGGCCAUCUCUCUUUCCUCCUCUAGGAGAUCGACUGCGUCCUUCCGGGCCUGUUCUGCUUCAUCUUCAGAGAAGAGCUCGACUCGGGGUGCAUUGUGAAGCAAGUCACUCGGUAGAACAGCUUCAGCUCCAUAAACCAAAAAGAAUGGAGUUCGGCCAGUCGACCGAUUGGGAGUUGUCCUCAAUCCCCAAAGAACUGAUGGAAGUUCAUCAACCCAGGCGCCUGCUGCGUGCUUGAGAUCACGCAUUAGAUGGGGUUUCAGUCCUUUGAGAAUCAAGCCAUUUGCUCUUUCUGCUUGUCCAUUCGACUGUGGGUGGGCGACUGAAGCAUAGUCGACUCGUGUGCCUUGGGAAGCACAGAAGGCUCUGAACUCAUCAGAAUCAAAGUUCGACCCAUUAUCAGUGAUGAUGCUGUGUGGAACUCCAUAUCUGAAUGUCAAUUCUCUGAUGAAACUGAUGGCAGUACUAGCCUCAAGAUUCUUGAUAGGCUUGACUUCAAUCCAUUUGGUAAACUUGUCGACCGCUACAAGCACAUGAGUGAAGCCGCUCAUACCAGUCCUCAGGGGUCCGACCAUAUCCAAUCCCCAAACAGCAAAGGGCCAGACGAGUGGAAUAGUCUUCAGGGCUGACGCAGGCUUGUGGGACAUAUUGAAGUAAAACUGGCAGCCUUCACAUUUGUCGACUAUAUCUUUCGCCAUUUCAUUUGCUCGUGGCCAAUAAAAUACAGCUUGGUAUGCUUUGGCCACAAUGGUCCGAGAGGACGCAUGGUGACCACAGGUCCCCGAGUGGAUGUCGUUGAGGAUCAUUCGACCUUCUUCUGAUGUUAUGCAUUCCUGGCUGACUCCAGUUACGCUUUCCCUGAACAGAUGUCCUUUUUUCACAGUGAAGGCUUUGGAUCGACGGACGAUCUGUCGAGCCUCUUCUUCAUCCUCUGGGAGUUCCUUCCUAAGGAUAUACGCAACGUAUGGCACUGUCCAGUCGGGAGUGAUGACCAAAACCUCCAUGAUCAGGUCGACCACGGCUGGGACUUCGACUUCAGUCGGAUCUGUGGCACUCUUAGGCUGCGGGGGCUCUUCAGUGAAAGGAUCUUCUUGAACUGAAGGCAUAUGAAUGUGUUCUAAAAACACGUGGUUGGGAAUGGCUUCUCUCUUGGAACCUAUCUUUGCCAAAUCAUCGGCUGCUUAAUUUUUCAGUCGGGGUAUAUGAUGGAGCUCUAACCCCUCAAACUUCUUUUCCAACUUCCUCACCGCAUUGCAAUACCCAGUCAUAGCUGGGCUUCUGACGUCCCACUCCUUCAUCACUUGAUUGACUACCAAAUCUGAGUCGCCGUAGACCAUGAGGCGACGGACGCCGAGUGAGAUGGCCAUACGUAACCCAUACAAAAGUGCUUCAUAUUUCGCUUCGUUAUUGGAGGAAUCAAAGUGAAUCUGGAGAACAUAUCUAAGCUUGUCUCCUUGGGGGGAUACCAGUACCACCCCAGCACCGGAACCAUUUAGCAUCUUGGAACCAUCAAAAAACAUGGUCCAGUGCUCCGAGUGGAUUUGAGUCGGCAGUUGCUGUUCGAUCCACUCGGCGAGGAAAUAUGCUAUUGCUUGGGACUUCAUAGCUUUCUUUGCCUCAAACUUAAUAUCCAAGGGAAGGAGUUCAAUCGCCCACUUUGCCACUCGACCAGUUGCAUCUCUGUUGUUCAGAAUCUCUGAUAAUGGAGCGUCGCUGACGACUAUAAUGGAGUGGUCAGAGAAAUAAUGUGCAACCUUCUUCGUGGUCAUAUAAAUCCCAUAAACAAGCUUCUGAUAAUGUGGAUAUCUUUGCUUUGAUGGGGUCAAAACUUCAGAAACAUAAUAUACUGGGCGCUGAACUUUAUAGGCUUUUCCUUCCUCUUCCCGUUCGACCGUAAGUAAUGUACUGACAACUUGUCCAGUGGCUGCAAUGUAAAGUAGUAAAGGCUCUUUGUUGAUUGGGGCAACAAGCACCGGCUGGGUGGAAAGCAGGGCUUUGAGCUCUGCAAAUGCUGCAUCAGCUUCAGGAGUCCACUCGAACUUAUCAGACUUCUUCAUUAGUCGGUAAAGAGGCAAUGCCUUUUCACCGAGGCGAGAAAUGAAUCGACUUAAGGUGGCCAAACAACCAGUAAGCUUCUGGACAUCGUGCACACGCACAGGGCGCUUCAUUCGGAGAAUGGCGCCAACUUUCUCUGGGUUAGCAUCGAUCCCUCGUUCGGAAACAAGGAAACCGAGUAAUUUUCCGCCCGGAACUCCGAAUGUGCACUUUGAUGGAUUAAGCUUGAUAUCAUACCUUCUGAGGUUGGCAAAAGUUUCAGCAAGGUCAGCCAACAGGUCGGAACCUUUACGUGACUUGACCAUAAUGUCAUCCAUGUAUGCUUCCACAUCCGACUGAUUUGAGUGAGUAAACACUUCUGAAUCAUCCUCAUGAAUGUGGCUCCAGCAUUCUUCAGACUGAAUGGCAUGGUAACGUAACAGAAGCAGCCGAAUGGAGUGAUGAAAGCUGUUUUUAUCUCAUCGGGUCCAUACACGGAUCUGAUGAUACCCGGAAUAAGCGUCCAAAAAGGACAAGCGCUCACACCCUGCAGUCGAGUCAACAAUUUGAUCGAUGUGGGGGAGAGGAAAGUGAUCUUUCGGGCAGGCCCGAUUUAUAUGUUUGAAGUCAAUGCACAUGCGAAGUGAGUCAUCCUUCUUGGGACCAUGACAACAUUGGCUAACCACUCGGAGUGGUAAAUCUCUCAGAUAAACUCAGCUGCUAGGAGUCGAGCCACCUCUUCACCGAUUGCUUUUCUCUUCUGCACGGCGGACCGUCGAAGGUGUUCUUUGACCGGUUUCACUUUUGGGUCGACUCGCAAACGGUGCUCAGCCAGCCCCCUGGGAACACCUGGCAUGUCAGAAGGUUUCCAUGCAAAGAUGUCCAAGUUCUCACGGAGGAACUGGAUGAGCGCUUCUUCCUAUUUGGAGUCGAGUGUUGUCGAGAUGUGAGUCGGAGCAGCAUUGGGAUCGGUCGGGUAAAUAUGAAUCGGCUUCGUUUCACCAGACGACUAAAAUGCUGAAUCCGUGGCAGGCUUCUUAGCUCGCAACAAAUCACUCGGAUCUGCAUUUUUUUGAUACUCCUGUAAUUCCACAGUUGCCAUUUGUGCAUCGGCGAUCUUUGAGCCCUUCUGAAAGCACUCUUCUGCCUUCUUCCGAUUGCCAGUGAUGGUAAUCACUCCUUUAGGACCAGGCAUCUUCAAUUUAAGGUAAACGUAACAUGGUCGAGCCAUGAAACGUGCAUAAGUUGGCCUGCCUAGAAUAGCAUGAUAAGCGCUCUGGAAAUCGACGACUUCAAACAUCAACUUUUCCUUGCGAUAAUUCUUGGAAUCACCGAAAACCACAUUGAGGGCAAUCUGGCCGAGUGACUCAGCCUUCUUGCCAGGAAUAACCCCAUGGAAACUCAUAUUGCUUUCACUGAGUCUGGACAUCGGAAUGCCCAUUCCUUUCAAGGUCUCCGCAUACAGUAUGUUCAGACCACUGCCACCAUCCAUCAGAACCUUAGUCAACCGAGUGCCUUCGACGACUGGGUCGACCACCAAUGCUUGCCUCCCAGGGGUGGCUAUGUGUGUCGGGUGAUCAGUCUGGUCGAAUGUAAUGGCGGUCUGGGACCACUUUAAAUAACUGGGCGUCGCCGGAGCGACCAUGUUCACUUCUCUGUUGAUGACUUUCAGUCGACUCUUGCUCUCAACAUCAGCGAAAAUCAUCAGAGUGGAAUUGACCUGGGGGUAACCAUCAUCUUCCUCUUCCUUAUCCUCAACUUUGUCCGAUUCUUUCUCCUUUUCUUUGGGUUGUUUCUCUCGGAACUGCUGGAUUAGGAGCCGACAUUGUCGAGUGGCGUGUUUCGGGUAAAUGAGAUUACCCUCCUCAUAUUUUUUGAUGUGAAUGUGGCAUGGUAAAUCCAACACAUCAUUUCCGUCUUGAUCUUUUACUUUCUUGGGGUUCCAUGGCCCUUUGGGCUUCCCCUUGAACUUUCCUUGAGUCACGGCUAAGGUUUCUCCAGGAGCAGCUGGCUCGGCUUUGCGCUUCUGCUUCCGACUGGAGUUCCCUCCCCCGGUUUCGUGGGCGACUGUUUUGUGCUUGCUACUCCGGAGCCGAUCCUCUUCUUCACCAUUAGCAUACUUGGUGGCAAUUUCCAUCAUUCGACUCAGAGACAUAUCUCCGGUCCGACCGAACUUCAGAUUCAAUUCUCGAUACUUGACGCCUUCCUUGAAGGCACAAACUGCUUGGUGAUCAGACAUAUUUUCCACUGUGUGGUGCAACGUGAUCCACCUCUGGAUAUAAUCUCUCAAAGUUUCAUUCGACUUCUGCACACAAGACUGUAGCUCAGUUAGCCCCGCUGGUCGUUUGCAUGUACCCUCAAAUGUUUUGACAAACACUCGGGCAAGCUCUUCCCAACUGUAAAUAUUGCCAGGUGCUAACUGGUUCAACCACACUCUGGCCGAACCCUCUAACAUCAGAGGCAGGUGCUUCAUGGCCACUUCGUCAUUGCCACCACCAAUCUGCACAGCCACUCGGUAGUCCUCAAGCCAAGUGUCAGGCUUGGACUCACCAGUGAAUUUGCUGACUCCAGUCGCCAACCUGAAGUUGGGAGGAAUCACUGCUGCCCUGAUGGCUCUGCUGAAACACUCGGGACCUGAAACAUGCACCCUGCUGCCGGUCGGGUAAUCUCUAUCAUGGCCAUCUCUGUGUGCUCUGUUCCUGUCAACCAAACCUUGAACGAGAAUGGACCUCGCGUCAAAGCAUGGCUCCCGGGGGUCGACUGGAGUCCUUCGCCCACCACUGUGAGGGCGCCUGUCAUCGUGUUGCCGAGGUGCGUAUGACCCACUCCUUAGGGGAGGCGUGGGCACUCGGCGACGAUCAUCGUGGUCGAGUCGGUGAUCAUACUGCUCACGGUUUCUGUACAGAUCUCGUCGGUCUCCAUGUCCCUCACGCCUCGGGGGCGAUCUUGGACUGUGAGUCGACUGGAUUGUGUCUGCUACCACGGAUCUGCUAUGGAUCCUAUUCCGCGACUGAGAUACUGAUGUGUUUUGUUCUCCUGCUGCCCGGAGUAAAGCCUGAUCUGCAUCAAACCUCUGCCAGCUUCUGACUGGGAGGGCUGGAUCGACUCUGCUAUUCGGGCUGCAGCUGUGAGAUUCUGAAUCGGAGUUCGGUAUACCUGAGUAGGAGGCGGAAAAAGUUGUCGUCGACUGGACUCAGGAAUCCGCUGCCGAGCACGCUCGUCGAGUGCGUGCUGGAGAUUCUCCAGUCGAGUGCGCUCAGCCAAGUUGGCCAGGCGCACCUCCUCCAAGGCCCGGGCCUCGGGGGUUUCUCCAACGAUAGGAGUGUGAAGUGCAUCCAUGUUGCGGCGGCGAAGCUCUUCCCUCUGCUGCGAAGAGAGGGGCUCGGGGCGGUACUCCUCGUGGGCACGCGACGGAUCGCCUCCGCCGUCACCACCAUCCUCGCGGGGGAAGCCAGGAGGACUGCGCGGUCCGUUGACCAUCAGGACUUCCGCCGUGGGGUCACUGCGUCGCACUCGUACGCGGUCUCAACGGAGCCAGUCGAACAGGCCGUAGAGAGUUUCGUCGGGCUCGAUUGCCGCGACUUGGGGGUGGCCGAUUGGCGAGCCACCGCGUGCCUCACCCACCGCUGGAGCCUCGACCGACCGGAACGCUUGUGCCGGCGGACAGCGGGGAGUGAAGACGCCACCGGAGCCGACCGAUACUGAGUCGACGGCUGCCGCAGGAGGACGUCGCGGACGUAUGCGCGAAAGUGCGUUGCCCCGCGGACGGGGAGCGCCUCGACGUCGAGUGGAGCUUCUUGGAGCCAAGCGGAGUCGUCGGCGAUGAACACGAGCGCGCUGAAACGGAUCUCGCGGCCCUCGGCCAAUCCUCUGCCUGAAACCAUGCUGAUGGGGAUCGGAAAAAUCGCAACUUCUCCAACAAGUCGCUAAGACACCUGCCCCAAGGUGGGCGCCAACUGUCGUGGUUCUAUGUCUGACAGUAGAAUGGGGGGUAGGGAUGUAGAGGCAAGAUCUUAGCUAUGGGGAAGUUGUACGCAAGAGUUUUACGAGUUCAGGCCCUUCUCGGAGGAAGUAACAGCCCUACGUCUCGGAGCCCGGAGGCGGUCGACUGGAUUAUAUGCGUGUGUGUGUGUGUGUGUUACAGGGGAUGCGAACCCUUGUCUCAGAGGAGGGGGUGGCUUAUAUAGAGUGUGUCAAGACCCCAGCUCCCCUCCGUUACACAGGAUUCAAUGUACAUAAAGUGAGAGCGUUACAGGUAACGUCAAUAAUAAAGUGCUAUAAAUGAUCAUUAAGUCUAUGAGUAAACGUCCGACCGUUGCUGCGCAGAGUGGCUUUAGGUCUUCUGCACGUCGAGUGGUUGAGUGGUCGAGUGACCUAAAUAAGGAGAGAUCUUCGAGUGAAUGGUAGGUCGAGUGGAUUGCACUCGACACCUUUGUUGAGCCCUCUCUAUUUGCUCUUGAACUUCUUUGCUUCUAGGACAAGGACCUUAGGUAGGACGUAUAGGUCAGGCCUAUCGCCCUACCCUAGGUCUAUGUCCUCAUCAAUUGCCGCAUUUUAUAAUUAUGAAAUCUGGCAAAUGGACGUCCAAAUUGCAUUCCUUAAUGGAUUUCUUAAGAAAAGUUGUAUAUGAUGCGACCAGAAGGUUUUGUCGAUCCUAAAGGUGCUAACAAAGUGUGCAAGCUCCAGCGAUCCAUCUAUGGACUGGUGCAAGCAUCUCGGAGUUGGAAUAUACGCUUUGAUGAGGUGAUCAAAGCAUAUGGUUUAUACAGACUUACGGUGAAGUCUGUAUUUACAAGAAAGUGAGUGGGAGCUCUGUAGCAUUUCUAAUAUUAUAUGUGGAUGACAUAUUGCUGAUUGGAAAUGAUAUAGAAUUUCUGGAUAGCAUAAAAGGAUACUUGAAUAAGAAUUUUUCAAUGAAAGACCUCGGUGAAGCUUACAUGUUGGGCAUCAAGAUCUAUAGAGAUAGAUCAAGACGCUUGAUAAGACUUUCAACGAGUACAUAUCUUGACAAGGUUUUGAAGGAGUUCGAAAUGGAUCAGUCAAGGAAGGAGUUCUAGCCUAUAUUGUAAGGUGUGAAUUUGAGUAAGACUCAAAGCCCGACCAUGACAGAAGAUAGAAAGAGAAUGAAAGUCAUUCUCUAUGCCUCAGCCAUAGGUUCCAUAAAGUAUGCCAUGCUGUGUACCAGACCUGUUGUGUGCCUUGCCAUGAGUUUGGCAAGGGGGUACAACAGUGAUCCAGGAGUAGAUCACUGGACAGCGGUCAAAAUUAUCCUUAGUUACCUAAGAGGACUAAGGAAAUAUUUCUCGGUUUAUGGAGGUGAUAAAGAGUUCAUCAUAAAGGGUUACGUCGAUGCAAGCUUCGACACUGACUCGGAUGACUCUGAGUCUCAAUCCGGAUACGUAUUGAAAGUGGGAGCAAUUAGCUAGAGUAGCUCCAUGCAGAGCUUUGUAGACAUAGAAAUUUACAAAAUACAUACGGAUCUGAAUAUGGCAGACCCGUUGACUAAACACCUCUCACAAGAAAAACAUGAUCACACCUUAGUACUUUUUGGGGUAUUAAUCACAUGGCGGUGUUAACUAGAUUAUUGACUCUAGUAAACUCUUUGGGUGUUAGUCACAUGGCGAUGUGAACUAUGGAUGUUAAUCACAUGACGAUGUGAACUAGAUUAUUGACUCUAGUGCAAGUGGGAAACUAAUGGAAAUAUGCCUUAGAGGCAAUAAUAAAGUUGUUAUUAUUAUAUUUCCUUAUUCAUGAUAAAGGUUUAUUAUUCAUGCUAGAAUUGUAUUUACCGGAAACUUAAAUACAUGUGUGGAUACAUAAACAAAUACCGUGUCCCUAGUGAGCCUCUACUAGACUAGCUCGUUGAUCAAAAGAUGGUUAAGGUUUCCUAACCAUAGACAUAAGUUGUCAUUUGAUAAUGGGAUCACAUCAUUAGGAGAAUGAUGUGAUGGACAAGACCCAUCCAUUAGCUUAGCAUAUGAUCGUUCAGUUUAUUGCUACUGCUUUGUUAAUGUCAAAUACAUGUUCCUUCGACCAUGAGAUCAUGCAACUCCCGGAUACCGGAGGAAUACCUUGUGUGCUAUCAAACGUCACAACGUAACUGGGUGUUUAUAAAGAUGCUCUACAGGUAUCUCCGAAGGUGUCUGUUGAGUUCGCAUGGAUCGAGAUUGGGAUUUGUCACUCCGUGUAUCAGAGAUGUAUCUCUAGGCCCUCUCAGUAAUACAAAUCCUAAGAACCUUGCAAGCAAAGUGACUAAGGAGUUAGUUGCAAGAUGAUGUAUUAUGGAACGAGUAAAGAGACUUACCGGUAGCGAGAUUGAACUAGGUAUGAAGAUACCGACGAUCGAAUCUCGGGCAAGUAAUAUACCGAUAGACAAAGGGAAUUACGUGUGUUGUCAUAAGGUUCGACCGAUAAAGAUCUUCGUAGAAUAUGUAGGAACCGAUAUGGACAUCCAGGUUCCGCUAUUGGUUACUGACCGUAGAGGUGUCUCGGUCAUGUCUACAUAGUCUAACCCGUAGGGUCCGCACGCUUAAUGUUCGUUGACGAUAUAUAUAGUGUUACAUGAGUUAUGUGAUUUGGUGACCGAAUGUUGUUCGGAGUCCCGGAUGAGAUCACGGACAUGACGAGGAGCUCUGGAAUGGUCCGGAGGUAAAUAUUGUUAUAUAGGACGAUACUAUUUGGACACCGGAAGAGUUUCGGGAGGUACCGGGUAGUCAUCGGAUCACCAGAAGGGGUUCCGGGAAGCCCGAGAGGCUAUAUGGGCUUAAUGGGCCAAGGGGGGAACACACCAGCCCACAAGGGGCUGGUGCGCCCUCUCCAUGGCCGUCGGCCCUAGGGGAAGGGGGGGAGGGUUGACCCCUCCUACCUUUCCCUCCUCAUGAGAGAAAGGAAAGGGGGCGCCACCUCCCCUGCCUUCCUCCCGCGCACAAGUAAGGAAAGGGGUGCGGCUAGGGCAGGAGCCCAAGGAGGAUUCGGCCUCCUUGGGGCGCCUCCUGGCUGCCUCCCCUCUCCCCCCACCUAUAUAUAUGAGGGAGGGGCGCUACACAAGACCACGACAAUCUCUUAGUCGUGUGCGGCGCCCCUCUCCAGAGUUUUGUCCCUCGGUCAUAUUUUUGUAGUGCUUAGGCGAAGCCCUGCGGAGAUAGCGUCACCAUCACCGUCACCACGCCGUCGUGCUGCCGGAACUCAUCCACUACUUCGCCUGUCUUGCUGGAUCAAGAAGGCGAGGACGUCACCGAGCUGAACGUGUGCUGAACGCGGAGGUGCCGUACGUUAGGUACUCGAUCGGUUGGAUCACGAAGAAGUCAUCAACCGUGUUACUAAACGCUUCCGCUUACGGUCUACGGGGGUACGUAGACACACUCUCCCCUCUUGUUGCUAUGCAUCUCCAUGGAUAGAUCUUGCAUGUGCGCAGAAUUUUUUUGUUUUCCAUGCAACGUUCCCCUUCAAAUACUACCGGAACAAAAGUGGGUAUUGAUCGGAACUUAGAAACCCCUUGAACGAUAUAGAAAAAUACAUACAAACCACAAACUUAAUCGCUAACAUGGUCCUUCCAAAUUGUUAACAUGGCUAUAAAAUAAUAUGAUUAGUUUAGUGACUUAGCAUAGUAUUGUAAUAGUACUGGACAAUUGUGUGGGUCUAGUUGAGUACUUGCGUGGUAGUAGAAGAUGGAUUGAUGGUUGGGCUACAUUGCAGCCAUUGACAUAGUAAAGACGAAAUUCCAUAUUCACAUAAACGAAAAGUUCCGUUUCCAUGUCUAUUUCAUCAGAAAACAUUGUUCCGUUUCCGCGUAAAAGAAUUUGUUUUCGUUUUUGUUUCCCUCCGGAAAAGGGAAAAGUUUUCGCUCAGUUUUUAUCCCUAUUGGUGGACUAUGAAAACAUGCCUCUUCUNNNNNNNNNNNNNNNNNNNNNNNNNNNNNNNNNNNNNNNNNNNNNNNNNNNNNNNNNNNNNNNNNNNNNNNNNNNNNNNNNNNNNNNNNNNNNNNNNNNNNNNNNNNNNNNNNNNNNNNNNNNNNNNNNNNNNNNNNNNNNNNNNNNNNNNNNNNNNNNNNNNNNNNNNNNNNNNNNNNNNNNNNNNNNNNNNNNNNNNNNNNNNNNNNNNNNNNNNNNNNNNNNUUAAGUAUUAUUUUGUGGGGGCUGCUUUCGUUUAGUUAAAAAUAUAAAAGUUCUUAUUUAUUUAUUUUCAAACGCACACAACCUGUCAUAGUUUCCAAAUUUGAAACAGAAACAUGUCUACGCUACAUGAGCAUUUUCACAUGUCAAAAAAAGUUGCUGCAAUAAAAUAUGCUUUUCGACCUCUCACCCUCGUGUUCUUAUGUUUGGAUCCAAUAACCCACUUUUUACAAGCAAGAGUUUAUUUUUUAAAAAAAGCCCAAGAAUACACUCAAAAUAAAGAGAUCAUCAUGCUAGUACACACUGUACUGGUACCGCAAGAUUGUGUGAUCAUGAUUAUUUGCCACCACAAGCCAAUGAGGAUGAAGAUGAGAAGGAAAAUUACCCCCGGUCGAAAGCUACAUUUUGAUUUCCAAUUGGCUGUCACAUUUUCCAAUUCUGAAUAGUAACCCACAACAAAGUAGACCAGAAAAGAAAAGGAACAGAUUAAGCCACAUAAGCCUACGAUCUGGGCCAAAAACUGUGGACGUCCUCUCCGUUACCCUGACAGCCUUUUCAACAGGAAAGGUGGAUUGCCGUCCGGGAAGGCACGCCUGCGAACUGCAAAUCGCCUCCGGCUUACAGCGCAACAGCCACGACAGAAACAGAAAUGCCAACAACAUGUGACCUGACCACUAGGCGAGCAGUACAUGGAUCCGUGGCGAAUGACACCGGUGUGAGUCAUAAAGACGCGCACCGCAGACGAAUAUGCCGACCAGAUAUCCCGGCAGGGACUCCAGUUGGCAAUGGCCGCAAGUGAUAUAUGUCGAUCAUCACCAACAGCCAUCAAUCAGUCAGUCACCCCUGGAUCGGAUCCGAUCAGCGAGAAAUGGAUACUACUCGUACAUCGGUACAUGAUUGCAUUAUUGCCGAUGGACGCUAUCAGAGUCGGGACAUAAAGCUAGCAGGUGUUCCUGGUAAGUGGUAAUCACUAAUCAGUGGCCUCCUCCUAUCCGUAUCCAUUCAUCCAUCUUUCUGCCAUCUCUGCUCUGCUGCUGCUGUAUGAUGCCCAUCAGCAGAUGCGUCGCCCGGCCAUGAUGAUCCAGUGGCAACUUGUCCUCAUCUGCCCCAUGAUUGGAAGAAAGCUUUGUUCUAGCUUAUGUUAAACAGAAUGGACGCAUGCAUGCACCGGAGAGAGCAGAGGUCGAUCGAUAGAUCUGGAGCAGUGUCACCAGGAAUGUAAAAAGGCUGGUUAAAUUAUUAUUUUUGUAGUAAGAUCCAACAGCCUGAAAAAUGAAAAGUCAUCAACAGGUCUGUGUACAUGACAAACAACUUUCGGUGACACAACCAUGUCGGUGCACGCGGGAUGCAGUGGAAGCAUGAAAUCUAGAUUCAAUAAAUUGGCCAGCUGGAAUUCCAAACGACAUAUCUUAUCAUGCAACUUGCAGGAUAGGACGAUCCAGAUCGAUGGUGGAUGAGUCCAGUCCACUAGCGAAGAAUGAGCCAAGCAAGUGAGUGUGGUUCUACCAACCAGACCAGGAGAGGACCAGGACCAGCCCCACCAUGCAUGCAGGUGCAGCAGAUAGCUAGAGUAGCUCUGCUUUCUCCCCCAGGCGGCGCCGGAAAUUAAUUCCUCGGCUUUCUGACGUUGCAUCCGUCAUUAAAAAAAACUUUCAUUCUAUUUGUCUUAAAUCAUGGCAGUACAAUUGUCUGUGGUUUUCAGGUCACGGAUCAUGGAUGGAGUUGGACCCUGGCCAGACAAUCCUAAUUGCCCCUUCAGCAUCUGAAAUGUUCAUAGUGAUCUUUUUGGUUUGUUUUCAAGCAAAAGUUUAGCUCCCUUAAAAAAGAAAUGGUAUAGUUCCCUCCUGUUGUUUUUACGUGCUUGUUUACUUUGUCCGCGUGCAUAUCAGCCUCUUAUGUAUGGCUUUAACGCACUAACCACCUCAGAAGAAGCAAAGUGCACCAGCUCAUGAACCAAAGCGGUUUUGCAUCCAUGUCUAUGUGCUCAUCAGUGGAGUGUACGUACGACUUCUGGAUUCCUAUAUUGGAAUUAGUGGUCCUAGCCUCAGGCUCUAGAAUCUUCCGUGUGCAUGUCUAUACGCCUAGCAGCGGACACCUUUGCUUGCAGUUGCAGCCUACGGGGGCGGCGCACCGAGGUCCGAGGGCUUUGUAUGUGAGCUGGAAACCAACGGCAGCACGGCGCCGCUUGGCAUCUAAUGUCCGUACUCGCGAUUCUCACCUUUAUAUAUCUAUUCUGGAACAAGUUGGGUCGAAAUAUCCAAAAUAUAUGUAGUGUUCUGGCCGUCAUCGAAUGUACUCCCCCGUCCUAUAAUGUGACAUUGUAGUGUCAAGAAACGUUUUACUAGUGUCAAGAAACGUCUUACAUUAUGAGAUGAAGGGAGUGCUUGUUUGUUUCUUGCUCGUGAUGCAUGGAGCAGAGAUGUAUGGUUUUGUGCUGUAUGAUUUGCUUCGAUCGGGAUGUUCACGCAUGUCUAAUCUAAUCAUUUAGGCCCCGCAAAGAGAAUGUCUAAUCAUUUAGGUUGCGUUUGAGAAUCAAGUCGCCGGCAGGCAACGUGCACUCGUGCUCUCCUCGAUCGGCCAUCAGACGGGCUCCGGUCUCGAGAACUAUGUGAUUUUUAGUGUCAAAAAAGAGCUUGAGAAGUAUGUGAAAAUUUGCCAAUUCUAGAUUGAAUGGCAUUCGAUUUGUGCGAACUACCAUUGCCUUGGACUCUAAGAAAAACAUCACACCGUGCGCAUGCAUGUACUGUACGAGAGAGCGUCGCUUGCGGUGCCCAGUGCAGCUACGAUAUGCGCAGUGCUUGGUGACUCGUACACGCGACACCGGAAACGGAGUAAAUAUCUGAUCUGUGCAAGUACAGGAGAACACCGGAGACGGAGUGCUACGGAAAACUCCCAUCUGAUCUGUGCAAGUAGCUUCUGUGGGAUAGUAGGGAUCUGGAUCCUAAGAAGGAAAAGCCAACAAGAUGGCAUGGAUCCACGUCGACCAACACGCGUGAGCCCACAGCGCUGCGCCCACUAUAUCGUCAGAAUGACUAGGCAAGAAAUUAAAGGACACAGCCGAUGAGGCAUUGAGAUGAGUGGUGGUAUCAUAGCACUGGGUCCCGUCCCGUUCAGAGGUGCCUAGCAAUCAGAUCUGGCCUACAUGAUCAGGACACCUAGCUAGACUGGUUGGUGCUUGGCUAAAAAUAGGGCACGGAAGGAGGCGACACAUUCUAGACAUUUCCAGUUCCACAAGCAUUGAUUUUCUUUUUUCUUUUUCUUUUUUUCUUUUUUGUGGCGGAGAUGCAAGUUUCAAUAUCGACACUGACUGCCAAUGGAUUUGCCGAACCAGGAAACAAAUUUGAGAUUCCAGUGAGUGCAAGCACGAGCACAUGUUUUCCCACUAAGAAUUCACUGGAUGUGUUAACCCAAAUUUAAUCUGUAAUACACCUGCAGCCUGCAGGAAUGAAUGCAUGUCCACGGCUUUCCGAAAGGAUCCUUGAUUCGUUUUCAUCAACUAUGUAUUCAUUAACGUUUCGUCAAUUUCACAACUACGACUUCAAAACAUCAGAUCAUUGAUGUAGCUUGAUCGUGCCAUAAGUGUUUUCAUACAAGUGCUUUCCAAGCUUUGCCCACCGAGUAGGCUUGACAAGGCACUAUUGCUCAACAAUUACAAACUUAGCUCAACCGCCAAAGCAGUUAGAUAAACAGUUACAAACCUAGCUCAAUCGCCAAAGCAGUUAGAUAAAAACUUAUUUGGGUAUCUGGUGAGGCGACCGUAUAUAUACUAUUGCAAUUACCUACUCUCUCUGUCCGAAAAUAAGUGUUUCAACUUUGUAACUCUAUUACAAAGUUUUACUAAGGUUGAAACACUUAUUUUGGGACGGAGGGAGUAUAAAAAAAAUGCAAAAGUAUUAUAACCUUAUUACAUUAGUUAAAAACGAUCACGUACCCUGUGUUAGUUAAGUGCUGAUGUAGCUACAAACCAUUGAUUAUUAGAGUUGUGGGUUUGUUGGUCUUGCUGCAGGAAGCUACAAAGUUGGUUGUAGCUUGUGUUGGCUGGAGGGCAUCUAGCCGACGAGCUAACUGCUAAAGUGGUUCCUUCGAGAGAUGUCCAGGACUUCUGUGAGAAACCAUGGGCGAAAUAUGGACGUAAUCACACUCUAUUAGGAUAUAGCUACAUAGUAUGGACGUAACCCUCGGCUGUUUCUUAUUACCAGCUUCUGCCAAAACACAUGCAAUGACGUCUAAUGAUUACCGGUGAAGAGGUGCAGGGUACGUGCAUCUUCAUUCGUUAUAUCAUUCAUCUGGGUAAAUACAUCCUCAUUCAUAACAUCACAGAAACACAUCAGUUCAAGAUGGGAUGAUUGUUCUGUCUAGAAUGUACAGUAAUUCUCGAGAAGAUGAAACACAAGACAGCAAAGGUUUCAAAAGUCACACCGGAGAGAUUAAUAGUGCAUACAUUGCAAGGCCAACUAGAAUGUACUUAUUCUUCAAAAAUAAUUCAUAAUGUACAACCAAGACAGCUUUAAAGAAAGAGCCUAUUCUCUGGACUGGAAAAGUGUCAACUGAACAGGGGCAUUUCUCACCUAAAAAAACCAGAGCCGUCGAAUGAACUAACUAUAUUCCUAUAUUCUUUGGUUGGAAAAAGAAGAAUCUGAGCACGGGUAAUUGCCCAAAAAGACAGAACUCCGGUGAAUGGGGUAUAUUUGUAAACUGCCUGACGUGGCCGUAUAUUUUCUUCAUUUCCUGUAAAAACAUCUACAAGCUGGC